AUAAGAGUAAAGUACAUUAAAAUACCUCAAAAAAUUCUCAAACUGCACCAACGACCUUAGAAUAUCGAAACAAAAAAUGAUCAUAAGUUUACUCUUUUUCAUAACUGUACGAAAAAUAACAAAAAAUUUAAUUUUUCCUCUUCAAUGUACGAAACAUAUAAAAAUCAAGAAAAGUACAUCAAAACGCCUCAAAAAAUUACACUUUUUCGUAACUCUCCAAAAAUUAACAAAAAAAUUAAUUUUUCCUCGUAAAUGUAUGAAAGAUAUUAAAGUCAAGAAAAGUACAUCAAAACACCUCAAAAAAAAUUCAAACUACACCAACGACCUUAGAUUAUUUAAACAAAAAAAUGAUUAAAAUUUUAUUCUUUUUCGUAAUAACAAAAAAUUAAAUAACUAAAAAUUAAUAUUUCCUCGUAAAUGUACGAAACAUAUUAAAAUCCUGUAAAGUAAAUCAAAACACCUCAAAAAAUUCUCAUACUGCACCAAUGGCCUUAGAAUAUCGAAACAGAAAAAUGAUCAAUUUUUUUUCUUUUUCAUAACUGUAUGAAAAAUAACAAAAAAAAUAUUUUUCCUCGUAAAUGUCUGAAAGAUAUAAAAAUCAAGAAAAGUACAUCAAAACACCUCAAAAAAUUCUUAAACUGCACCAAUGACCUUAGAAUUUUGAAACAAAAAAAUAUUCAAAAUUUUACUCUUUUACGUAACUGUUCGAAAAAUAACAAAAAAGAAAAAAUUUCUCGAAAAUGUACGAAACAUAUAAAAAAUAUGAAAAGUACAUCAAAACACCUCAAAAAAAUUUCAAACUACACCAAUGACCUUGAAAUAUCGAAACAAAAAAAUAAUCAAAAUUUAACACUUUUUCGUAACUGUCCGAAAAAUAACAAAAAAAAAAAUUCCUCGUAAUUGAACGAAACUUAUAAAAAUUAAGAAAAGUACAUCAAAACACCUCAAUAAAUUCUCAAACUGCACCAAUGACCUUAAAUAUUUAAACAAAACAAUAAUCAAAAUUUUACCCUUUUUUCGUAACUGUCCGAAAAAUAACAAAAAAAUUAUUUUUUCCUCGUAAAUGUAUGAAACAUACUAAAAUCAAGGAAAGUAUAUCUAAACACCUCAAAAUAAUUCUCAAACUGCACCAAUGACCUUAGAAUAUCGAAACAAAAAAUCAUAAAAAAAUGUACUCUUUUUUGUAACUGUCCGAAAAAUAACAAAAAAAUUAAUUUUUCCUCGUAAAUAUCCGAAAGAUAUAAAAAUCAAGAAAAUACAUCAAAACACCUCAAAAAAAUCUCAAAGUGCACCAAUGACCUUAGAAUAUCGAAAUAAAAAAAUGAUUAAAAUUUUACUCUUUUUCAUAAUUGUCCUAUCAAGACCCGAUUCCUCGAGUCAUGAUGGCACCUACUAUAAUCUAUAUAAGUAGGCAAGCCAACCCGUAUCCUGGAACAACUAGUAAUGGGAUUGAGGGUAAAAAACUAAACCCAACAACACAAUAAUAAUAACAACAACAAUCACAAAUGGAAGGGUGCAAGCAAGCCAAAACUAUAUACAAACAAAAUAUCCCUCUCAGAACUUGGAAGUCACAAGUAUAGAGCUACUAACAAAAUGAGUACAAGUCCUAAAAGUGGACCAAAGAAACAAGACUGUCUCAAAAAGCAAAAGACAAGUCAAUAUAUAAAUACAUAAGGAGACGGGCAAAUCCAGGACGCUAUAUGCUCACCCUCGCCUACUAAUAUCACUGUAGAUGGCUCGAAAUCAACGCUGAUAGCUGGUGCUCAGACGUGCAUCACGAAAAUAGAUGCAGAGUAUAGUAUGAGUACCAACACAACAGGUACCCAGUAGGCAUCAUAGGCCGACUGAGCAAGAAAAGAAAAAGUAAUGUGAAAUGAGAGAAUCUAACAUACUAACAGAAAUAAGCAGGAGGGAGCAUCUAAUAGGUAUGCACACGACCGUACUUACACACAAAGAGAAGGAUAGUAGCUAACUAAAUCCGACCGAGCUCCCAUAAACCCGACGGGUAUGCUCGUGCACAAUAUUAAAGUAAAACUCGAACGGAUUCCCAUAAUCCUACCAGGUGCAAAGAAGGGAGAGUUGAAAUGAAGUAAGAGGAUCCGAUGAAGUUUUUAAGAUUACCACAACUUUUCGAACUUGAACCGAACUAAUACAUGUGCCCGAAGCUUACCCAGAGCUAAUAGGGAAAUAAGGACUUGAACCGAAUGAAGAUGAAGGAUCAAGGACUUGAACCGAGAUUUGGAGUAACCGAGGACUUGGACAAAGGCUAAGGAUAAUCGUGGACUUGAACCACAUAAAUUAUGACCAAGGACUUGAACCGAGGUUAAGGAUAAUCAUGGACUUGAACCACAUAAAAUAUGACCAAGGAAUUGAACUGAGGUUAAGGAUAAUCGUGGACUUGAACCACAUAAAAUAUGACCAAGGAAAGGACUUGAACCCCGCCUGGUGGAGUUAACUGGGGACUUGAACCACGAGUAGAGUUGAGUCGAUUAGAAAUAGGAUUAGCUGUCAACCGAGCGUCAUGGGGAGUACCGCCAAACCAAGUGCCAUCAAUAGAUCACUCCUGCCCGAACCGUAUCCAACUAGAAUAAUCGAGUAGCUUCCAAACAAAUAAUUCAAAUACAUCGAAACCAACAGGACAAGGAAUUAUGGAUAUAAAGUUCCAAGAGCGGUGUUACUGCCUGGCUAAGGCCUAGACUAUCAGACUCAAGUCUGCUAUAUCAGUCUACAGGGAGCUAAGCCGUCUGAAGCGACAUCGAAGAGGUUUCAAGGCCUAACGGCUCUAAAAUACGCAAGUCUAUGGCAAUCACUAGUCUAAACCUAGACUAAGGCCAAACAUGCUUUCAAAUAUACACACAAGCCAUAAAAAGGGCGCACCACAAGGUACAGAUGAUCAAUAAUGAAUUAGACAUGCUUCAGUAACCUGAAGUACCGAAAUUAGAGCCUAAGUCAUGGUUUCUAGGAAUUUAGCAUGCUCAACCACCAAUUACCCCCAAAAUCAGACAAAUCAACAUACAAAUGCUAAAUCAUGCUCAAUCUAAGGAGAGGGAAGUCGUAGCGUACCUGUAGGCCGACCGUGCGUGCUCCAAAUCACGUACCCAAAGCCUUUCCCUGCCGUAUGACCUCAGAAUGUUGUCACGCUAUCAAGAAUAGAAUCACCACGUUAAUAUGAGCGUUUUGAAACCAAAAUCAUAAUUUUUGGAGUUGGAUCCGAAAUUGGGCCUAAAAUGGGAUUGUGGGACCCGCGAUGGGAACCCCGUAUUUGAUACCACAAAAAAUGUAUCAACGCAAUAUGGAACUUGUACCCCAAAAUGGGGCACAAUUUAAGGAUCUAACUGAAAGAAAUUUGAUCAUGCGAUGAAAAUUCAAUUUAUGGGGAAAAUCAAGAAGAGGGCAGCCCUUUUGGGGCAGAAAUUACCUCAAAACGUCGAUCUUCACACUUCUCCGUGCACUCCACAGCGAACCAACAAUCCACACGAACACCCAGAACUUUGAAUCACCUAAAUCAGAGCUUUAUAGCUCAAGAAAUCAAAACCUCCAUUAAAUAGAAGAGUCAAGAAAAGGGCAGCAGCUAAAACCAAGAAAACGCCUCAAACGAAGCUUCCCCAACCCUUUCCGAUCAUACCACUGCGUUCGACGAAAAAACCACACAAUUUAGAGCUUUUGAAUCACUCAAUUUGGCGCUCUGUAACUCAAGAUAUCGCAAUUGAAAAUGAGGGCUGAAAGCUGAAAUGGAGCUUUUAAAAGACGAAUCUGGUCGCUAAAAAGUCAAAACUUUUGUCGUUAAAAACCCAAAAUCUGAUCGCUAAAAGGGCUGCACCAGAUUUCAGCCUUUCCUAUUUUUUUAAAGCCUCCGACGUGGUGCUUGGAAUUCGUUCGGAAUCCCGUGCGUGCAAAUGGACUAUGCUUCCCCACUAAAUUCGACAUUUCGGAUUCAAUGGCGCAGUCAAAAUUCCCAUACGAGGUCAUUUUGACUGAAAGUGGAUCCCACAUCCAAAUGACAUUUUUAGCCAAAUUCCACAACGGGCCUCGCGAUUAGAUCGGAAGCCUCGGGAAGCAAACAAUGGGUCAUUCUAGACCCAACUUGACAUUUCGGAACUAACAGCAAUGACGAAAUUUUCAUCUGAGCACAAUUUCCAAGAAUGUUGACCAAAGUCAACCUUAGGCCAAAUUUCGUAGGCUAAAAGGCCAAAUGGUCCCAAACUCGCACCAAAGGCCUCGGAACUCGUUACGACCAUUCAGCUAGCCUAAUUUGGCCAUUUCGGAGUAGAUGGAACCAUCAAAAUUUCAUCCUGAGGUCGUUAACCUAAUAUUAUGACUAAAGUCAACUUUUCAAGGUUUAAAAGCUCCAAAACAGCAAAACGGGCUUAAAACCCAAACGAAUGACCAAGUGACCGAACAGUCAGUGUGAGCAAGUGGGGUCGCUAUAGGAACUCUCUAAACGCCGAAAUGAAUGCAUUAACUCAAAUAUGACAUGUAGGGCCAUUACAACAUCCACUACUAAAAGAACUUUCGUCUGCGAAAGUAAAAGCCAAGAAGUACCUGAAGGCUCAAAUAAGCCGGGGAACUUCUCCCGCACCUCCUGCUCGGUCUUCCAAGUGGCCUCCUCGACUGGACGGUGCCUCCAACGGACUUUAACCACAGGAAUGGCUCUGGAUCGCAACUGCCUCACAACUCUAUCUAAGAUGGCAACUGGCUCCUCAAUAUAGGUCAAACGAUCAUCUAACUCAACUGCAUCAUACUGGAGCACAUGGGACUUUUUCACAACCCAAGGCUACCCCCUAGACGUGACACGGCGUACUCAACCCCGAAGUGGUCUCAUACAAGCCCAUAACAUUCUUGAACAUAAGAACAUAUGAAAAUAAAGUGGAAGUAAAACUUUUCUUUACAAUCGAAAUCAUUUUUUUCAUAAAAGCAAGCGGAAGACUUUCUAUACUAUGUCUCAAACCAUUACAAUACUUUUAAUAAACUUUGGGACUAAGCCCAUACAAAAGCUAUAAACACAAAGUAAAAGACAUAAAGGGAAAUCAUGGGUUCGUCCUCGAAACUAUGAGGACUCACCAAAUCUUCAUCUCCUUAGAAACCUAUCCUUCAAGUAUAGAACAUCAAAUCUCCAAACCCUACACUUUUAUAAAAAGGAGAAAAUAUGGGUUAGAACAUUAGAUGUACUAAGUAUGAUAGUCAUGCAAAAACCAUGCUUAAAACGGACAUUUUAUUUGUAAUCAUGCUUUCAUGCCAAUUUGAGAAAACUUCAUGAACAUACAUAAGAGACAUAAUAUACACAUAUAACCAACAUACAAGUCAUUUCAUCACAUUAGAACAUAAUAAACAUAUAAACCAUUUCAUCACAUUAAGCCUUCACCUCAAGUAACCUUGAACCUAUACUUGGUGCAAUUUAUGAAUAACGUCCCAUACCACCAUCCACACCAAGUACCACAUCAAGGCCACUAAAGUGAACUUACCAUUCAUCCUUUCCAUCUUUACACAAUACUCAUACAUAAGAGACAUAAACAUUUCAUAAGUCAUAUCAACACAUUAGGACCAUCAUCUAGGGCAACCCUAAGUCAUACUUAUGCAAUGUAUGAGUAGCAUCCCAUUAUGCUACUCAUACUAAAUAUUCUUUUGAUGCCACCAUAGACCAGGCACAUUCAUACUCAAUAAGUCAUGACAAGGAAGUAACUCAUAAUACAAUCCAAAUGUAGCAUGCAUCAUUACAUUUAUGCAUAUAAGUCAACAUUCUUCAUUAGCUUCAUUAAGAACACCUUCAUUCAUUAGACAUUAAAUCAACCUUUUCAUUUGCAUCGUCAUAAGAGCACAUUCAUUUCAUUAGACCUAAAUGAACACACCAUAACCCCUCUCAAAGCCUACUUGUGCGAUGCAUGGAUGGCAUCCCAUACUACCACCCACGCUAAGUAGUGCAUUCUUGAGAAGCCAUAGUUCAUUAACAUUGUUUGUGGGGGUAAGCCUUAACCGACAAAGACCAUGUGAGCAAUUCAUGUAAUCCCGAUGUCACCCUCUCCGGAUAAGGGAUUCCUACUUGCCUAAGGUAGGACCAUUACUUUUAGCUUAGGUGAAUCCACUAGCUAAUAUCCUAUGUGGGCACAUAGUUAUGGGAUACGGAGAUUGCUAUUAGACACCCCGUCUCAACUCAUGGAUGAGCAUCCAUCCCAAGAUAUUUCUACUAGAUACCCCGCCUCAAGUCACAGAUGAGCAUCCAUCUCAAUUCAUAUCCACUCGGUGCUUAGAAUUAUUCCCCACGGAGUACUUAACAUUCAUUACUUUUGUUCAUUAUUAUGGGAUAAGAGAUUGCUACUAGAUGCCCCGCCUCAACUCACGGUUGAGUAUCCAUCUUAAUCCCAACAUUCAUUCAUUAGAUAGCUCAUAGAUUCAAAGAUGAGAAUAGCCUUUUAACUAAGAAUCCCAUAUUGUGAGAAAGUCCUUUCAUAAAUCCUUCAUGAAAUUGCCCUCCCAAGGCCAUACAUCAAUCACAACCCAAACAUCGAAGAUACUACAAUAGAUAAGGGAAUUAACAUAAUUCAAUAACUGAUUCAAUAUAAACAUAAACAAUCCAACAUACUUUCAUGAUCCAUCAAUUCCCAAUCACAAUUCACAACUUAAGAAUUUUGGGGGAAAACAUGGGUUCAUAGAAGAAAUUGUCUUAAUUCACCAUUAAUUCAACAUUCUAUUCAUAAUUCAUCAUAUAAAAGAUUUUGAAAUCAUUUUGGUAUUGAACCCAUGCAUAGAUUGAAAACUAGGGUUUUUGGGAAACUUUGGAGACUUAAAAUCAUCAUUGAAAUUGGCUCCUUGAAAGAAACUAAGUCAAGGAUGAAGACUACCAUACCUUUAGGUAAGAAAUCCACGAAAAUUGCUUGAGAAAUUUGAAAACUUGACCUUGAAAGCUUGACUCCUUUAUCUCUAAUGGAGGUUUCUAGAGAGAGCUUUUGGAGGGGAGGGAAGGUUUCUAAUUUGGUGUUUUGAAAUAAUGAAUUGAAAAGGAGUUUUAUUACCUUUAAAAGCCUUAAAAUACAUAAAUAAAUCAAUAUUAUCCGUCCCCCAACUAAACUAACUUAAAAAGGAAUUUACUAAACUAACCCCUCACUUAGCCGAAUUUGGACAACAAGCAGGUGUCAUAGAUCCCCCCUGACCUAUGGACCGUAGGUGGAGUCGCCCUAUCCUGCAGGUCCAUGGGUCAGGUCUGCAACUUGUCAUUUUGGGUCCUUGACCUACGGACCAAGCCUUACGGGGCAUAGGUCCCGUCCGUAGGUCCUCAUUUUUUGACAGUUUUUUGGUUCUUGGGCAGCUUUGGGGGUUAGACUUUAGGGUCCUCCUAAAGGACCCCUUUGUUGGUCCUUGGGGAGUCGUACCUUGACGUUUAACCCCUAAACCCCUCAACCAAAGCUCGGGACAACAUUUUACAACCUCAAACAUCACAGCUACUCAAAGACAAACUCGUUAGACUCUAGUUUCACCUAUUCAUUUUCCGGGUCGUUACAUUAUCCCCCACUUGGGAACAUUCUCCUCGAAUGACACUUUAAACACAUUAAGGGGUUAAUGACUCAAGACUAGCAGCCAAUCAUGCAAGCAACAUCAUAGACAAUGCACAAAACUAGGAGGAAACAUCAACUCCAUCUCAAACAUGUUCAAUGCAACACAAGAAAGUAGGAACUACAUCUACAAACUCAUUAUGCAUGAAAACUUCAACAUUUCUCAUUUCAUUGGAGGAAUUACCUUCUCCAACUCAAAUCAUGCUUAUCAUAACAUCAUUAGGCACAUUAUGCAAUUUCUCUUAAAAAGCACAUUUAGGCAUGUUCAACCAUUCACCUCAUGAAGUAUAUAGGCAAGCCAUACUAACUUCACAUCGACAUGAGGAACAUAAAUCAUAAAAACUCAUUUUCUCAUUCAAACAUGAAUUCAUUAAGAACAUGCAUAACAUAAGGAGACCAUGGAAACACAUAAUCACACAUGAAUCCAAAACAUGAAAUAAGCUACAAGGAACUCUUGGUUUCAAGCUUGAAUAGGAAUAGAAGGAAAGAGAUAAGGAUUCAAAACUCUCUACAACCUUACCAUUCAACAUAUUAUCCCCCACUUUAGAGUAAACCCAACUAUGGCUAACAUGAAAACAUCAUAGGAACCUUAACAAGUCAUCCACAACCAUAAGGAACUAUCAACAUACUGGUGCUUUUAAACUAGGAAGGUCUUCAUUAAGCAACUCUUGCUCACAAACAACCUUAUCAACACCACUUAAGGUUUCAUAUGAGUCUACUACACCGGGUCUAAACUCCUCAAACUCACUACACCUCUGAAGGUGAGAAUAUCAAGAAAGCCUAACUCAAGAACAUCAAGGACACUCAAUGACCAUACCAUCUAAGCACAUUAUCCCCCCACUUGGGAGUAAGCCUAUACAAACUCUUUUAAAUAUCACUUCUUUCAAUUCUAAGGUCGGAGUAAGUCACCACUAAACCUUCACACUCAUCACACAAGAUGAUUCUAAACCAAGGUGAAAUGCAUUUCUACCCUUCUUAGAGAAGUCUACUAACUCAACCCAUCAAGACAUUUCAAAAACACCUCAUUUAUCAAAUCUUUCAACAUACCUCAAAACUCAUCAUGACUAAGCCGAGUUCUAUCAUCAAGUAAACAUAAACAUAAAGCAACUCAUUCAUACUAAGGAAAACAUCACAAUCUAUCAAGUCACAUAGCCAUAAUUGGCAUCACAACCAACCUUGUAGCAUAUACCUUUCAAGUGGUCAUACCCUAAAGACCAUCGGAUAAGGAAUAAGGAAAAGCCAUUAUAGAGUUAGACUAUAUGGCACGACUUAAAGAAUGCAGAAGUGAUAUUUUCCUAACACCCAAUAGCCUCUUAUUCAUAAAUGUGGCGGGCUUCACACUAGGAACAGGACUGUACUAGAUGUGGUUUGAGACAUCCUAGAACCAUUCCAAAAUCUUAUGCUCUGAUACCAUAUUUGUCACGACCCAAGGCUACCCCCUAGACAUGACACGACGUACUCGACACCGAAGGGUGUCAUACAAGCCUCAUAGCAUUCUUGAACAUAAGAACAUAGGAAAAUAAAGUGGAAUUAAAACUUUUCUUUACAAUCGAAGUCAUUUCUUCAUAAAAGCAAGCGGAAAACUUUCUAUACUAUGUCUCAAACCAUCUACAAUGCUUUGAAUAAACUUUGGGACUAAGCCCAUACAAAAUCUCUAACCAUAAAGUAAAAGACAUAAAGGGAAAUCAUGGGUUCAUCCUCGAAACUAUGAGGACUCACCAAAUCUUCAUCUCCUUAUUCCUUAGAAACCUAUCCUUCAAGUAUAGAACAUCAAAUCUCCAAACCCUACACUUUUAUAAAAAAGAGAAAAUAUGGGUUAGCACAUUAGAUGUACUAAGUAUGAUAGUCAUGCAAAAACCAUGCUUAAAACGAACAUUUUAUUUGAAAUCAUGCUUGCAUGCCAAUUUGAGAAAACUUCAUGAACAUGAGUAUAAGAGACAUAAUAUACACACAUAACCAACACACAAGUGAUUUCAUCACAUUAGAACAUAAUCAACAUAUAAACCAUUUCAUCACAUUAAGCCUUCACCUCAAGUAACCCUCAAGCUAUACUUUGUGCAAUGUAUGAAUAGCGUCCCAUACCACCAUCCACACCAAGUACCACAUCAAGGCCACUAAAGUGAACUUACCAUUCAUCCUUUCCAUCUUUACACAAUACUCAUACAUAAGAGCAACCCUAAGUAAUACUUGUGCAAUGUAUGAGUAGCAUCUCAUACUACUACUCACACUAAGUACUCAUUUGAAGCCUCCAUAGACCAGGCACAUUCAUACUCAAUAAGUCAUGACAAGAAAUUAACUAAUAAUACAAUCUAAAUAUAGCAUGCAUUAUUACAUUUAAGCAUAUAAGUCAACAUUCUCAAUUAGCUUCAUUAAGAACACCUUCAUUCAUUAGACUGUAAAUCAACCUUCUCAUUUGCAUCUUCAUAAGAGCACAUUCAUUUCAAUAGACAUUAUCACAUAAAGGAACACACCAAAACCUCUCUCAAAGUGUCACGCCUAAAAUCCCAUGAAGACGAACAAGAACCCGAUGCCCUCAAGGCCUGAGAGAACCAACAUGUAACAUGUGUUUACUAUGCUUAUAACUAUGACACUCUUGUGACAAGUUCACAUAGGAUGCAUCGAUAUGAACCAACAUAAGUAGAUCCAAAACAUAUAUACAAGACUUGGCCGUUGAGGCCACAACUUGUUAAGACGCAACUGAACCAUAUACAUAAGUCUACAAAGCCUCUAAAAGAUAGAAAACCUUAGAGUAGGUUGGGACAGACCCCGCCUUACUCUUAACUAUGAUACAAUACCAAAAUGAAUCUACCAAGGACUUAGUAAAGCUCUGAAUCAAUCUGGAGCUCACCAAAAGUAGCUGAAUGUCGUAUACUCCUACUAAGGAGGUCUACUAGCUGAAGUACCUGUGCCUGCAAUAUGAAAUGCAGCGUAACCCGGGAGGGACGUCAGUACGAGGAAAUGUACUAAAUAUGUAAGGCAAUAACAUAUAUAAAAUAAGAGUUCGAAUGAAACCAAGUAUCAAUAUAUGUGUGCAUAAAUCAGAACAGAAGACCACCUUUGUUAACUCUUGUGGGAUCAUGUAUGUUACAUUCUUGUCUUUACCUUUCUGUGUGUUAUGAUCUUUAUAAGACAUGUGAUACGAAUGACUAGUUGAUCAGUGGUAGAAGAGGAUGACCAAUGCUAGGCAUUUUAACCCCUGGGAUGCGGUCCUCAUAAUUACACAAAUUGGGAUCGGCCCAUGCUAGGCUUUCUCCCUUGAGCUGCCACUCUUCUAUACCAAUUGGGAUCGUCCCAUGCUAGGUUGUCGCCCCUGAGCUGCCACCCUUAAUUAUACAAAUUGCUUUGCUUAGAUUAUUUAAUCUUUGAGAUUGUUGUUUUGGUGGUCAUAAUCAUUUUUUAUAUUUGGAAUUACGGACCAGUAGUAGAAGACAUGAAAAUAAUGCCUCAAGGCAGUAACAAUGACAUAAGGAGCUAUGUAACAUCAAUGCAUUACUUGUGAGCUUAAAUGACACAAUUCACUUCAAUUGACUAAGAGGAGGAUUCACCAAACUUGCUUUUGCAAAUACCAUUUCUAUACCAACACAUAGGAGGAUAAUUACACAAGUAUAGAGUACUAAACAUAUAAUAAAGUAAUUCUAUACACUAAGGAGAGGGGGAAAUAUUGUUAGCUAUUUGGAGAUCGUUCAUUGCUACUAUGUUGCCUUUGCUAGGAAUAGNNNNNNNNNNNNNNNNNNNNNNNNNNNNNNNNNNNNNNNNNNNNNNNNNNNNNNNNNNNNNNNNNNNNNNNNNNNNNNNNNNNNNNNNNNNNNNNAGCUAUCACACUGUGAGCCUCAUAAAACAGUAUAUAACUUAACAUAUAAUGACCCCGUACAGCCCUCAAAAUAAUGUGUAUCACCACACCCUCCUUCUCUGCCCAAUACAUACAUUAUCUAUCCUUUUCCAAGAUUACCCAAGCCUCACCAACAACAAUACACAUAAAACAACCUCAAAUAUUCUUUAUCAUACAUACAACCAAUUAAUGAACUCACCACCCCCAUGAGUUCUUUAUGACAGCACACCCAUAAUUCCUCACUCAUACAUAAGGAGGACAAAAGAAAAGAGCAGUCACCUUACCUUAAUUUAUGCAACUUUCCCUUUUAACUUAGAAUCUUCAAGAACUUCAACUUCCCUUCACACUUAAACCAAAGAAGAAGAGAAAAGUAUCUUAAUAACCAAGGAAGUGAAUAGUAGCUUCUGGAAAUAUUAUGCCUUUAUACUUAUACUUGAGCAUGAAUAAUAUGUUUUCCUAAUCAUCCAUGGGAGAAUUAAGCUAAAUCCAUAAGUGUUUUCACAUACCUUGUCCUGCAGAGAUGAGGGUUUCUUCAGGAACCCUAGAAGAACUUUAAGGUUGUUGUUUUAAUCCUUAAGAGAAAAGAGAGAGAGAGCUGGAGUUAAUCCUCAAUAUUGUGUGUUAAAAUGAGUGAGAAUAGCAGCCUAUAUAUCUUAUAUUGAGCUUUCUUCACCUUUAAGAAUAUCCUUUAGAAAGAUUCAUUUUCAGCCACUAAUUGGUCAAGUAGGUGAUGCACCUGCUUAUGUACAUCAAGCAGCUCAAAAGGUCAAACUAGGUGAUGCACCUACUUGCUUUCACUUGGGCUUAAAUAUUGGGCCUUGACAUAUUUGGCUACUAGGAUUAAAUUUCAUUUUCCUUUUAUUUAACUUAGUUUGGGCCUCAAGAGAGUCCAUUAGCAUAGACCCAAAUCUGAUCCAUAAACCUUGGCCUUUUAAACUAGAUCCAUAUAGAUCAAGUAGGUGAUGCACCUACUUAGUCCUUUGGUCUGGUCAAUAAGUCAAAGUAGGUGAUGCACCUACUUGUCACCUACUAGCUUAGUUAAGUCAAGCAAGCAGCUCACNNNNNNNNNNNNNNNNNNNNNNNNNNNNNNNNNNNNNNNNNNNNNNNNNNNNNNNNNNNNNNNNNNNNNNNNNNNNNNNNNNCUUUUGCUUUAACUUAGCACUUAACUUUUAACUUUAAGCUCAAUUACCACCUUACUGUCUCUUUAAAAACACCCGUUGGAGUUAAGUUGCAGUACACAUGUUGAAACGUGCAAGGCAUCACAUCACCUUCUGAGCUAGUUUAAACCAACACUAAUCAUAUAAGAAACCUGGUCCCUCACCUAUACUAUAAAGCUAUGUCAAGUAUCACAAGAAUAUAACAAACAUAUGCGUAAUACGGGUUGUUACAUCAUUCCCCCCUUAAAAUAUUCGUCCUCAAAUGUUAGCAUGGUUAUCCAGCCCAAACAGGUUCAAGCCUACUGUAGUACUACUAAUAAUCACAUAAUACAUAUAGACUUAUACUUACUUGUCAACACCUCAAUUACACAUCUUCAUCUUCUCAUCGAUCUGAAAGAGAUGAGGAUACUUCAAUUUCAUUUCUUCUUCCGCUUCCUAUGUAAUUUCUUCUACUUGUUGGUUCCUCCAUAAUACUUUUAUAGAAGCUACUUAUUUAUUUCUUAACUUCCUAACUUGUCGAUCCAGAAUAGCAAUGUGUACUUCUUCAUAAGUGAGAUCUCUCGUAACCUGUACAUCUUCAGUAGGAGUAAUACUAGAUGGGUCACCUAUGUAUUUUCGAAGCAUUGAGACAUGAAACACCGGAUGAACGGUUGAAAGCUCUUGAGGUAACUCUAACUCAUACGCAACUGCCAAUUCUCGGAUAACCUUAUAUGGCCCUAUAUAGUGUGGACUCAACUUCCCUUUUUACCAAACCUCAUACCCUUUCAUUGGUAACACCUUCAAGAACACCCAAUCCCCUAUAGAAAAUUCCAGUCCUCUCCUUCUAACAUCUGCAUAUGAUUUAUGUCGACUUUGAGUUAUUUCUAGUCGUUGUUGUAUCACUUUGACUUUUUCCAUAGCUUGAUGAACAAGAUCUGGCCCAAAUAAGGCAGUUUCACUUGUUUCGAACCAGCCAAUUGGGGAUCUAUAUUUUCUACCAUAUAAAGUUUCAUAAGGUGCCAUUUUAAUACUUGAAUGGUAGUUAUUGUUGUAUGCAAACUUGAUCAAUGGCAAAUGAUCAUCCUGUUGACCUUUGAAGUCCAAUAUACAAUCUCACAGCAUAUCCUCAAGUGUUUGAAUUGUAUGCUCUGCCUGACCGUCUAUUUGGGGGUGAAAGGUUGUACUUAAAUUUACUUGUGUGCCCAAACUCUUUUGAAAUGACGUCCAAAAAUUUGUAGUGAAUUAAGCUCCCCUAUCAGAUAAAAUAGAGAUUGGCACUCCAUGUAGACGAACUAUCUCUUUAAUAUACAACCUCGCAUAUUCUUCAACUGUAUAAGUAGUCUUGACCGGCAGGAAGUGCGUUGAUUUGGUCAGUCUAUCAACAAUUACCCAUAUAGAAUCAAACUUCUGAAAUGAACGAGGCAAACUAGUGACAAAAUCCUUGUUGACCAUGUCCCACUUCCAAAUUGGAAGUUCUAUACACUGCAUAUAACCUCUGGGCUUUUGGUGCUCUACUUUUACUUGUUGACAAUUUGGACAUUGAGCCAUGAAUUCUGCAAUGUUCUUCUUCAUGUCCCCCCACCAAUAUAUUUCUUUCAAGUCAUGAUACAUUUUAGUUGACCCUGCAUGAACAGAAUAUCUCAAAUGAUGUGCUUCCAUCAUAAUCCUCUUUCUCAAUUCANNNNNNNNNNNNNNNNNNNNNNNNNNNNNNNNNNNNNNNNNNNNNNNNNNNNNNNNNNNNNNNNNNNNNNNNNNNNNNNNNNNNNNNNNNNNNNNNNNNNNNNNNNNNNNNNNNNNNNNNNNNNNNNNNNNNNNNNNNNNNNGCAUCAGCUACUACAUUUGCUUUCCCGGGAUGAUACAAGAUAUCCAUGUCAUAAUUUUUUAAUAGCUCCAGCCAUCUUCGUUGCCUCAGAUUUAGGUCCUUUUGCUUAAACUUCUAUUGCAAACUCUUGUGAUCAGUGUAUAUGUCAACAUGAACUCCAUAUAAGUAGUGGCGUCAUAUCUUCGAAGCAAAGACAACUGCUGUUAGCUCUAGAUCAUGAGUUGGAUAAUUUUUCUCAUGUGGCCGCAAAGCCAUAAGCUAUUACUUUACCAUGCUGCAUCAAUACACAUCCUCGGCCCACUCCCAAAGCAUCACAAUACACUGCAUACCCUUCUGUCCCUUCUGGAAGUACCAAUACAGGUGUAGAAGUUAAUUUAUUCCUUAGCUCUUGGUUUCACAUUCAUCACUCCACUGAAACUUGGUUUAUUUGUGUGUUAGCUUUGUUAAGGGUGCAUCAAUGGAAGAGAAUCCUUCAACGAACCUUCUGUAAUAACCUGCCAAUCCAAGGACACUACGAAUCUCCGUAGGCGUUGUAGGUCUUCACCAGUUUUUCACGGCUUCUAUCUUCUGGUUAUCAACCCUUAUUCCUUCAUCGGAUACAAUAUGACCUAAGAAUGCCACAGAUUUCAACCAGAACUCACAUUUAGAAAACUUCGCAUACAACUUACGAUCAGGAAAAAAUUGUAAAACCUGCUGCAAGUGAUUAGCAUGGUCAUCUUCCGAUCUUGAAUACACCAAAAUGUCAUCUAUGAAUACUAUCAUGAACACAUCUAGAAAUGGCUUGAAUACCCUAUUCAUCAAAUCCAUAAAAGUUGUUGGUGCAUUUGUUAUCCCCAAUGACAUGACUAAAAACUCAAAAUGACCAUACCGUGUUCGGAAAGCUGUCUUGGGAAUAUCUUUGUCUUUGACCCUUACUUAGUGAUACCCCGACCUCAAGUCGAUCUUUGAAAUAUACUUAGCACCUUGUAACUGAUCAAACAAAUCAUCAAUUCUAGAAAGGGGAUAUUGUUUUUAAUCGUUACCUUAUUCAACUGCCGGUAGUCGAUACACAUUCUUAACGAGCCAUCUUUCUUGUGUACAAAUAAAAAUGGUGCUCCUCAUGGGGACAUACUAGGCCUUAUGAAUCCUUUUUCUAAUAAGUCUUUUAAUUGCUCCUUCAACUCCCGUAAUUCUGUCGGGGCCAUUCUAUAUGGAGGGAUGGAUAUAGGUUGAGUAUCUGGAAUCACAUCAAUACCAAACUCUACUUCUCGUUCUGGAGGCAAACCCGGAAGAUCUUCAAGAAAUACAUCGGGAAAUUCAUUCACCACUGGAAUGGGUUGAAGAGUUGGUGGCUCCGCAUCUAUAUUUUUCACUCUCACUAGAUGACAUAUGUUUCCUUUGGACAUCAUCUUCUUUGCCUUAAGAUAAGAAACAAAUUUACCUCUUGGUGUCCCAAUAUUACCUUUCCAUUCAAGGGCAACCUCUUUUGGAAAAUGGAAAUACACCAUCUUAGUUCGGCAAUCUACAGUUGCAUAACAAGAAGCUAACCAAUCCAUACCCAUUAUAACACCAAAAUCCACCAUUUCUAGCUCAACAAGGUCAGCCAAUGUAUCACGAUCACAAACAAUUACAAUGCAAUUACGAUAAACCCUUCUAGCUAUAAUAGACUCACCAAUCGGUGUAGACACUUCAAAUGGCUUCACUAAUAAUUCUGGUGUUCUUUUGAACUUUUCAACAAUCAAUGGAGUAACAUAUGAUAAUAUAGACAUGUACCUGUAACCACAUCCGGCGAGGCUUCUAAAUUUUGUCGAUCCUUGAGAGCAUAUGUGUGAUUCUGAACUCUACUAGAACUAGUUGCUCCCCUAGCUCCUCUACCACUACCAGUAGGCAUCUGUCCCCUACCUAAAGAAGGUGCUGAUAAUGAGGAUGCAUCAACUGAUCUAGUAGAUUGUGUCACACCACCCACACCCCUAUGAGGGCAAUUUCUCAUCAUAUGACCCAGUGUACCACACCAAAAAUAAACAUUUGUCACAAACUGACAUGCGCCUAAAUGAUUUCUUCCACAUUGUUUACAAGACUGUCGAGGAGGUCUUGAUUGGCUCAUACUUCUCUGCUCUUGGUACUCUAUUGUUCGUGAACCUUGGCUUUCACCUCUUUUGCCCAAACUGAUUACCCCUAGAUUCUUGAAAUUGAGGUGGGGCACUAGCUGUAGAGUAGGAAGAAGAUGGCCUAGGCGGUAUGUUAAAGAACCGAGGCCUAAACUCACCUUGGGAUGGUGUAAACUACCCCAUGGAUCUGGCCCUCAUAGAAUGCCCUGUUUUUGACUCUUGUGUCCUUCUUCUUUGCCUUUGAUCCUCCAACUUUUGCGCAAAAGCUUGCAUUCUUGCUAUGUCUAUAUAUUUAUUCAAUGAAGCAAUGGUACAAUCUCUAACCAGAUAUGAAUCUAAUCUAUCCACAUAUUGAUGAACUCUAUCCUCCAUAGUAGCUACUACAUUAGGAGCAUACCUGGACAAGGAAUUAAAUUUGAGAUUGUACUCUCUCACGCUCAUACUUCCUUGGUGGAGAUUUAAGAACUGAUCCGCACGGGCCUCGCAGAUCUCUAAUGGCAGGUAAUGGUCAAGGAAUGCCUUUUUGAACUCUUUCUAUGUAGCUGAAGGUGCAUCUGUUCCCCUAGAUUUCUUCCAAGCUUCAUAGCACAAUAUAGCCACACCCUUUAAUCUAUAUGCUGCUAGCUCGAGCGCUUCUUUACCACUUACAUGCAUAACAUCGAAAGUGUGUUGGAUCUAAUCUAUAAAGUCCUGUGGAUCUUCAUUAGGAUCUGACCGGUGAAUGAUGAAGGGUCCAAAUUAAGGAAAUCAUGUAUCCGCGUGCCAACUGCUCUAUCUACACCACUAGUACCCGCAACUAGACCUUCUUGCCUUUGGCCAUGGCCAGUAACUAUACGAGUCAAUAAUUGGACUGCAUUCCUCAAAUCUUGCUCGGUAGCAUUAAUAAGGCGUUCUUGAGGUGCAGCUUCCCUCCUUAGAUCUUCUGGAGAUGGAGGGGUCGGGGAAGUCUAUGAUAAAGACUCAUCUUGAGCCUCACCUUGAACAACUUGACUAGGUGGUGGUUGGCUGGUCCCUUCUUGGGCAGCCACAUCUACUCGUUUACCAGUACUUUUACUCCUUCUUGUAACCGGCAUCUUUGCUAUAAUAAAACAAUUUAGAAAUUAGAUAUGAUUCACCUACAACACUGGUUCCAUCGCAUGAUCUAAGAAAUGAAAGAAAAGAAACAACUCAUAUAUGUCCCGUAGCCUCCUAUUUAUAAAUGAGGUGCACAACACAUCCAUAAGCAAGACUCUACACUUUUGUAGACAUCCUAGGAUGACCUGCUCUGAUACCACUUUUGUCACGCCUCAAAUCCCAUGGACACGGACAGGCACCCGAUGCCCUCAAGGACCAAGAGAACCAACAUGUAACUUAUGCUUACUAUGCUUAUAACUAUGACACUCUUGUGACAAGUUCACAUAAAAUUCAGCGAUACGAACAAACAUAAGUAGAUCCAAAACAUAUAUACAAGACUUGGCCGUUGAGGCCACAACUUGUUAAGACCCAACUAAACCAUAUACAUAAGUCUACAAAGUCUCUAAAAGAUAGAAAUCCUUAGAGUAGGCCGGGACAAACCCCGCCUUACUCUUAACUACGAUACAAUACCAAAUUGAAUCUACCAAGGACUUAGUAAAGCUCCGAAUCAAUCUGGAGCUCACCAAAAGUAGCUGAAUAUCGUGUACUCCUACUGAGGAGGUACACUAGUUGAAGUACCUGUGCCUGCAGCAUGAAAUGCAGCGUCCCCUGCGAGGGACGUCAGUACGAGGAAAUGUACUGAAUAUGUAAGGCAAUAACAUAUAUAAAAUAAGACUUCGAAUGAAACCAAGUAUCAAUAUAUGUGUGCAUAAAUCAGAACAGAAGACCACCUUUGUUAACUUUUGUGGGAUCAUGUACGUUACAUUCUUGUCUUUACCUUUCUGUGUGUUAUAAUCUUUAUAAGGCAUGUGAUAUAAAUGACCAGCUGAUCAGUGGUAGAAGAGGAUGACCCAUGCUAGGAAUUUUAACCCCUGGGAUGCGGUUCUCAUAAUUACACAACUUGGGAUCGGCUCAUGCUAGGCUUUCGCCCCUGAGCUGCCACCCUUCUAUACCAAUUGGGAUCGGCCCAUGCUAGGCUUUCUCCCCUGAGCUGCCACCCUUAAUUAUACAGAUUGCUUUACUUAGAUUCUUUAAUCUUUGAGAUUGUUGUUUUGGUGGUCAUAAUCAUUUUUUAUAUUUGGAACAACGGACCAGUAGUAGAAGACAUGAAAAUAAUACUUCAAGGCAGUAACAAUGACAUAAGGAGCUAUGUAACAUCAAUGCAUUACUUGUGAGCUAAAAUAAUACGAUUGACUUCAACUGACUAAGAGAAGGAUUCACCAAACUUGCUUUUGCAAAUACCAUUUCUAUACCAACACAUAGGAGCAUAAUUACACAAGUAUAGAGUAGUGAACAUAUAAUGAAGUAAUUCUAUACACUAAGGAGAGAGGGAAAUAUUGUCAGCUAUUUGGAGAUCGUACGUUGCCACUAUGUUUCCUUUACUAGGAAUAGAACUUAGGAAAUUCACUUAUUGAUAUUAAUCGCAAGUAUCAGAUUUCAUGCCGAAGAAUAUUGAAUCGAAUAGCCUUACAUACCUUAUCCUCUGACCAAUACAACUAUCACGAUUCACCCUCCCCUUUUAAGUUUUAAUCUACAAUAUAAGUCAUGAUAAACUAAAAUUAGCAGCUAUCACAUUGUGAGCCUCAUAAAACAGUAUAUAACUUAACAGAUAAUGACCCCGUACAGCCCUCAAAAUAAUGUGCAUCACCACACCCUCCUUCUCUGCCCAAUACAUACAUUAUAUAUCCUUUUCCAAAAUUACCCAAGCCGCACAAACAACAAUACACAUAAAACAGCCUCAAAUAUUCUUUAUCAUACAUACAACCAAUUAUUGAACUCAUCACCCCCAUGAGUUCUUUAUGACAUCACACCCAUAAUUCCUCACUCAUACAUAAGGAGGACAAAAGAAAAGAGCAGUCACCUUACCUUAAUUUAUGCAGCUUUCCCUUUUAACUUGGAAUCUUCAAGAACUUCAACUUCCCUUCACACUUAAACUAAAGAAGAAGAGAAAAGUAUCUUAAUAACCAAGGAAGUGAAUAGUAGCUUCUGGAAAUACGAUGCCUUUAUACUUAUACUUGAGCAUGAAUAACAUAUUUUCCUUAUCAUCCAUGGGAGAAUUAAGCUAAAUCCAUAAGUGUUUUCACUUACCUUGUCCUGUAGAGAUGAGGGUUCUUUCAAGAACCCUAGAAGAACUUUAAGGUUGCUGUUUUAAUCCUUAAGAGAAAAGAGAGAGAGAGAGAGCUGGAGUUAAUCCUCAAUAUUGUGUGUUAAAAUGAGUGAGAAUAGCAGCCAAUAUAUCUUAUAUUGAGCUUUCUUCACCUUUAAGAAUAUCCUCUAGAAAGCUUCAUUUUCAGCCACUAAUUGGUCAAGUAGGUGAUGCACCUGCUUAUGUACAUCAAGCAGCUCAAAAGGUCAAACUAGGUGAUGCACCUACUUGCUUUCACUUGGGCUUAAAUAUUGGGCCUUGACAGAUUUGGCUACUAAGAUUAAAUUUCAUUUUCCUUUUAUUUAACCUAGUUUGGGCCUCAAGUGAGUCCAUUAGCAUAGGCCCAAAUCUGAUCCAUAAACCUUGGCCUUUUAAACUAGAUACAUAUAGCUCAAGUAGGUGAUGCACCUACUUGUCACCUGCUAGCUUAGUUAAGUCAAGAAAGCAUCUCACUUAUUUUAUUCUAUUUUCUAAAUAUUAAUCCUUUUUGCUUUAACUUAGCACUUAACUUUCAACUUUAAGCUCAAUUACCACCUUACUGUCUCUUUAAAUACUCCAGUUGCAGUACACAUGUUGAAACGUCCAAGGCAUCACAUCACCUUCCGAGCUAGUUUAAACCAACAUUAAUCAUAUAAGAAUCAUGGUCCCUUACCUAUAGUAUUAGACUAUGUCAAGUAUCACAAGAAUAUAACAAACAUAUGCGUAAUACAGGCUGUUACACAAAGCCUACUUGUGCGAUGCAUGGAUGGCAUCCCAUAUUACCAUCCACACUAAGUAGUGCAUUCUUGAGAAACCAUAGUUCAUUAACAUUCUUUGUGGGGGUAAGCCUUAACCGACAUAGACCAUGUGAGCAAUUCAUAGAAUAUCGGUGUCACCCUCACCGUAUAAGGGAUUCUUACUUGCCUAAGGUAUGACCAUUACUUUUAUCUUAGGUGGAUCCACUAGCUAAUAUCCUAUGUGGGCUCAUAGUUAUGGGGAUAAGGAGAUUGCUACUAGACACCCCGUCUCAACUCACGGAUGAGCAUCCAUCCCAAGAGAUUGCUACUGGACACCCUGCCUCAACUCACGGAUGAGCAUCCAUCUCAAUUCAUAUCCACUCGGUGCGUAGCAUUAUUCCCCACGGAGUACUUAACAUUAAUUACUUUCGUUCAUUAUUAUGGGAUAAGAGAUUGCUACUAGAUACCCCACCUCAACUCACGGUUGAGUAUCCAUCUCCAACCCAACAUUCAUUCAUUUGAUAGCUCAUAGAUUCAAAGAUGAGAAUAGCCUUUCAACUAAGAAUCCCAUAUUAUGAGAGAGUCCUUUCACAACAUGUCAUUACUAUUCAUUAGUGUAAAACUGAGAAUAGCCUUUCAAUCAACACAUCAUCAUUAACAUAAUCAUAGAAACAUCAUUCAUAUAUUCAUUCAUGAGUGUGUAUGUGAUAAUAACCUUUCACAUAUAUCAUCUUCAUUCAUAAGAGUUAAAUUGAGAAUAAGCUUUCAAUACUAACACAAUUCCAUUCUAAACAUGAUCAUAAUAUAUUCAUUGAGAUCACACACAUAUACUUCACAUCAUGAUCCUUCAUAAAAAUGCCCUCCAAGGCCAUACAUCAAUCACAACCCAAACAUAUAAGAUACUACAAUAGAUAAGGGAAUUAACAUGAUUCAAUAACUAAUUCAAUAUAAACAUAAACAACCCAACAUACUUUCAUGAUCCAUCAAUUCCCAAUCACAAUUCACAACUUAAGAAUUUUGGGGGAAAACAUGGGUUCAUAGAAGAAAUCAUCUUAAUUAACCAUUAAUUCAACAUUCUAUUCAUAAUUCAUCAUAUAAAAGCUUUUGAAAUCGUUUUGGAAUUGAACCCAUGCAUAGAUUCAAAACUAGUGUUUUUGGGGAACUUUGGAGACUUGAAAUCAUCAUUGACAUUGGCUCCUUGAAAUAAACUAAGUCAAGGAAGAAGACUACCAUACCUUUAGGGAAGAAACUCCACAAAAAUUUCUUGAGAAAGUUGAAAACUUGACCUUGAAAGCUUGACUCCUUUAUCUCCAAUGGAAGUUUCUAGAGAGAGAACUUUUGGAGAGGAGGGAAGGUUUCUAAUUUGGUGUUUUGAAAUAAUGAAUUGGAAAGGAGUUUUAAUACCUUUAAAAGCCUUAAAAUACAUAAAUAAAUCAAUAAUAACAGUCCCCCAACUAAACUAACUUUAAAAGGAGUUUACUAAACUAACCCCUCACUUGGCUGAAUAUGGACAGCAAAGAGGUGUCAUUGACGCCCCCUGACCUAUGGACCGUAGGUGGGGUGACGCUCCAUCCUGCACGUCCGUGGGUCAGGUCUGAAACUUGUCAUUUUGGGUCCCUGACCUACGUACCAAGCCCUACGGGGCGUGGAUGGACCUAAGGGGCUUAGGUCCCAUCCGUAGGUCCUCAUUUUUUUACGGCUUUUUGGUUCUUGGGCAGCUUUGGGGGUUAGACUUUAGGGUCCUCCUCAAGGACCCCUUGGUUGAUCCUUGGGGAGUCGUACCUUGACGUUUAACCCCUAAACCCCUCAACCAAAGCUCGGGACAAUAUUUUACAACCUCAAACCUCACAUCUACUCAAAGACAAACUCGUUAGGCUCUAGUUUUACCUAUUCAUUUUCCGGGUUGUUACAAACUCGUAUAGAACAUACCGGUGCAGCAUCGAAGCAUGGAAUACGGGAUGGAUAGCAAAGCUAACUCAUAGGCAACCUCAUCAACUGUUCUCAAAAUCUCAAAAGGCCCAAUAUAUCUGGGGCUAAGCUUGCCCCGCCUCCCAAAUCUCAUCACGCCCUUCAUGGGCAAUACUCGAAGGAAUACUCUAUCACCAACGGCAAAUCUCAACGGCCGAUGCCUACGAUCCAUGUAACUCUGGUGUCUACUCUGAGCUUUCCUGAGCCUAUCCUGAAUCCCCUUCACAUGAUUUAAAGACUCCUAAAGCAAGUGUGUGCCGCGUGGCCUAGGCUCCGUAGACUCAAACCAACCAACCAACCAGAGAGCGACAACGCCUACCAUAUAAGGCCUUGAACAGGGCCAUUUGAAUACUAGAGUGGUAGAUGUUGUUGUUUGCUAACUCCGCCAAGGGUAAAAACUAGUCCCACUAACCUCCAAAGUACAUGACACAGGCCCGCAAUAUAUUCUCAAGGACCUGAAUAGUGCGCUCCGACUAGCUAUCAAUCUGCGGAUGAAAUGUUGUGCUAAGGUCGACACAGGUCCCUAACUCCUCCUGAAUGACCCUCCAAAAGCUGAAAGAAAAUUGUGAAUCCCUGUAUGAAAUGAUAGAAACAGACACACCAUGAAGACGAACCACCUCCCGAAUGUUGAUAUGAGCCAAUCUCUCAGCACUGAAGGAAGUGUGAACGGGGAGGAAGUGUGCUGACUUGGUCAAUCGAUCCACGAUGAACCCAAAUGUUGUCAACACCCCUGUAAAUCCUAGGCAAGCCCACAACAAAGUCCAUGGUGAUACGCUCCCAUUUCCAUUGUGGAAUGGCUAAUCUCUGAAACUCACCACCAGGCCUCAAAUGCUCGGCAUUCACCUAUUGGCAACACAGGCAACGGGACACAUAGUCUGAGAUAUCUCUCCUCAUACCGCUCCACCAAUAAUGCUGCCUCAAGUCACAAUACAUCUUAGCGAUGCCCGGAUGGAUGGAAUAUCUGGAAUCAUGGGCCUUGCUAAGGAUCAACUGAUCAAACCCCCAACUUUUGGAACACAUAAUCAGUCGUCAAACCUCAACACCCCAUCUAAAUCUAAAGUAGUCGGCCCAGCAUCACCUGCCAAUACUCUUUCUCUGAGUGCCACCAAAGAUUAUUCCUCGAACUAUCACCCACGGAUCCGAUCUAACAAAGAUGACUGAACCCCACAUGAUCUAACACCCGUCUGGAAUCUGAAAGAUCGAGUCGGAUCAUCUUGUUGGCUAAGGAGUGGAUGUCCAAACCCAAAGGCCGCUUCGAAAUAGAAAGGAAGGCUAGACUACCCAUACUCACUGUCUUCCGGCUCAAGGCGUCCGCUACUACAUUCGCCUUGCCCCGGAUGGUAGAGAAUAGAGAGGUCAUAGUCCUUCAGGAGAUCAAUCCAAUGGCACUACCUCGAAUUAAGAUCCCUCUGGCUCAUAAUGUACUGAAAGCUCCGGUGGUCGGUGUAGAUCUCACAACGCACUCCAUAUAGGUAGUGGGGUACCGCCGCGCGAAAACUACCGUCGCCAACUCUAAGUCAUGAGUGGGGUAGUUUCUCUCAUGCAGCUUAAGCUGCCUCGAUGCAUAAGAAAUAAAUCGGCCCUGCUGCAUCAAAACACAACCAAAUCAACGCAUGAUGUGUCACAAUAAACCAUGAAUGCCUCGUCCUCAACUGGAAGAGUCAAUAUAGGAACGGUGGUAAGCAACUCCUUGAGCCUCAAAAAGCUCCUCUCACACUCCUCCGACCACUCAAAGGGAACAUCCUGGUGAGUCAACCGAGUCAAAGGUGCCGCUAUAGUAGAAAAGCCCUCAAUCUGACGAAGCUACGAAUCUCAGUCAUAGAGGUGGGGCUGGCCUAGUCACGGUGUCACGAACCGAUUCCUCGAGUCAUUAUGGCGCCUACUAUAACCCAUUAGUAGGCAAGCCAAUUCGUAUCCCGGAACAACUAGUAAUGAGAUUGAGGAUAAAAAACUAAACCCGACAUCACAAUAAUAACAACAUCAAUCACAAAUGGAAGGGCAGAAGCAAGCCAAAACUAUAUAAAAAUAAAAGAUCCCUCCCAGAACAUGGACGUCACAAGUACAGAGCUACUAACAAAAUGAGUACAAGUCCCAAAAGUGAACCACAGAAACAAGACUAUCUCAAAAAGUAAAAGACAAGUCAAUAUAUAAAUACAAAAAGAGACGGGCAAAUCCAGGAUGCUAUGUGGUCACCCUCACCUCCUAAUAUGACUACAGCUGGCUCAAAAUCAACGCUGAUAGCUGGUGCUUGGAACUGCAUCACGAAAACAAAUACAGAGUGUAGUAUGAGUACCAAAAUGAUAGGUACCCAGUAGGCAUCAUAGGCCUACUAAGCAAGAAAGGAAAAAGUAAUGUGAAAUGUGAGAAUCUAGCAUACUAACAAAAAUAAGUAGGAGGGAACAUCUAAUAGUUAUGUAAACGAGCGUACUCACACAUAAAGAAAAGAAAAGUAACUAACUAAAUCUAAUCCGGCUUCUAUAAACUCGGCGGGUACGCUCGUGAACAAUAUGAAAGUAAAACCCGAACGGACUCCCAUAAGCCUGACAGGUGCAAAAAAGGGAGAGUUGAAUUAAAGUAAGAGAAUUCGAUGAAUUUUCCAAGAUUACCACAACUUUUCAGACUUGAACUGAACUAAUACAUGUGCCCGAAACUUACCCAGAGCUAAUAGGGAAAUAAGGAAUUGAACUGAAUAAAGAUGAAGGAUCAAGGACUUGAACUGAGAUUUGGAGUAACCUAGGACUUGAACCAAGGCUAAGGAUAAUUGUGGACUUGAACCAUAUAAAAUAUGAUCAAGGACUUGAACCGAGGUUAAGGAUAAUUGUGGAAUUGAACAACCUAAAAUAUGACCAAGGACUUGAACUGAGGUUAAGGUAGCUAUGGACUUGACCAAAGCUAAAAGUGGUGGUGGACUUGAACCACGACGAUAUUUACCAAGGCAGGGACUUGAACCAUGCUCAGUGUGGGAACUGGAGACUUGAACUACGAGUUGAGGUGAGUCGGUUAGAAAUAGGAUCAGCUUUCAACCGAGCAUCAUGGGGAGUACCCUCAAACCGAGUGCUAUUAAUAAAUCACUCCAGCCCAAAUCGUAUCCAACCAGAAUCGUCGAGUAGCUUCCAAACAAAUUAUUCGAAUACAUCAGAACCAAUGGGACAAGGAAUUAUAGAUGUAAGGUUCCAAGAGCGGUGUUACUAUCUGGCUAAGGCCCAGACUCAAGUCUGCUAUAUCAGUCUACAGGGAGUUAGGUCAUCCGAAGCGACGUCGGAGAGGUUUCAAGGCCUAAUAACUCUAAAAUACGCAAGUCUAUGGCAAUCGCUAGUAUAAGCCUAGACUAAGGCCAAACAUGCUUUCAAAUAUACACACAAGCCAUAAAAAGGGCGCACCACAAGGUACAGAUGAUCAAUAAAUACAUUAGACAUGCUUCAGUAACCCGGAGUACCCGAAAUUAGAGAUUAAGUCAUGGUUUCUAGGAAUUUAGCGUGCUCAACCACCAAUUACCUCCAAAAUCACAAAAAUCAACAUGCAAAUGCUAAAUCAUGCUCAAUCUAAGGGGAGGGAAGUCGUAGCAUACCUUUAGGCCGACCGCAAGCGCUCCAAACCACUUCGCCGGAGCUUUUCCUUCCCGAACGACUUUUGAACGAUGUUACACUAUCAAAUACAGGAUCACAACGUUAGUACGGUCGUUUAGAAACCAAAAUCACAACAAACAGAGAUAGGUCAAUUUUGGAGUCGAAAUGGAAAUCGUGGGACCCGCACCGAACUUUCUGGAUUUGACUCCACCAAAAGACCCAAAACAGUACCCCCAAACUUGUGUUACAAAAUGGAGCACAAUUUGGGGCAGAAAAUCCCAACAUGCGAAAAAACCACACUUUAACUAACUUAAAAAGAAAGCAUGCAGCAUGUAAAACUCAGAAUUUAUAAGAAUCGAAGGGUACCCAGCACUCCCUGAAUACUCUACGAUGUAGCCUCGAUAAUUCUUGACACGUGGGACUUUGAAUCACCCAAAACCGAGCUAAAAGGAGCAAGAUAUCACCAAUUCAAGAAAGCCAACAACAAGAACUCGAAAUAGGGCUAAGCAGUCUGGUUUAUCGCAAUUUUUACCUUGAACGACGCGUACCCAACAACUUCCGAUUAAUCUACAGCGAAGAUAUGAAAAAACAAAGCUCCCGCACUUUGAAUUUCCUUAUUUGGCCAAGAAAUGAGGGAGAUAUGAGCUUUUAAAGGUUUCAAAAAUUGUACUGAUUUUCUGCUAUAUAAACCAGAUUUCAGCCCUUUUUUUUCGAAAACUUCAAAUCUCCGACGGGGAGCUCAGAACUCGUUCGGAACCCCGUGCACGCAAACGAGAUAUGCAGCCAAACCAAAUUUGAUAUUCUGGACUCAAUGGCAUAAUCAAAAUUUCCAUUCGAGGUCAUCUUGACAAAACUGGGUCCCACACCCAACCGCUAUUUUAAGUCAACAACCACAAAGGGGAUUGGAAAAAGCUCAGAAUCCUCGGGACACGAACGAAGGGUCAAUAUAGACCAAACUCGACAUUCCGGAGGUAACCGCGAUGACAAAAUUCUCAUCCGAGCGCGUUUGCUCAGAAUGUUGACUAAAGUCAAACUUAGGCUUAAACUUAAAGUUAAAACGUCUAAUCGCACGGACUCACACGGAAAACCUUAGGAGUCAUGCCUACCAUGCUACUAGCCUAAAAUGACCCUUACGAAGCUAAUGGAAUCGUCAGAAUUGGAUUCCGAUGCCAUCUUCUUGAACUUUUGAUCAAAAAUGAUCGUCCAAGGUUCAUCAGCUCCAAAAAUACUAGACUCGCAUAAAUACCAAAUGAACGACCAGGUGACCAAAAUGUCAGUCCCAGUAAGUCGUAAAUGAAUUGGGGUUGCUACAGUAACACUCUAAACGACACACAGAAGGCAAAACACAGAAAUGACAAGGAGGGUCAUUAAAACAUCCACUACUAAAAAGGAUUUUCGUCCGCGAAAGUAAGGGUCAAGAAGUACCUGAAGGCUCAAACAAGCCAGGAAACUGCUCUCGCAUCUCCUGCUCGGUCUCCCAGGUAGCCUCCUCGACUGGACAAUGCCUCCAACAGAACUUAACAACAAGAAUGGCUCUCAAGUGCAAUCUCCUCACAUCUCUAGCUAGAAUGGCAACUGGUUCCUCUACAAAUGUCAAACGGUCAUCCAACUCUACUGCAUCAUACUGGAGCACAUGGGACUCAUCAGGAACAUACCGGCGCAACAUCGAGACAUGGAAAACCGGGUGAAUGGCUGAAAAUGCUGGAGGUAGGGCCAACUCAUAAGCAACCCCCCAACUGUCUGAAGUAUCUCAAAAGGCCCAAUGUACUUGGGGCAAAGCUUGCCCCCGCCUCCGAAACCUCAUCACGCCCUUCAUGGACGACACAUAGAGAAAUACCUGAUCACCAACAGAGAAUCUCAAAGGUCGACGCCUCCGAUCCGCAUAACUUUUGUGCCUACUUUGAGCCGUUCGGAGUCUAUCCUGAAUCACACUCACCUGGUCCAUAGCUUCCUGCAGCCUAGGCUUUGUAGAGUCAAACCAUCCCACCGGAGAGCGACAAAGCCUACCAUACAAGGCCUCAAAUGGGGCCAUCUAAAUACUAGAAUGGUAGUUGUUAUUAUACGCAAACUCCACCAAAGGAACGAACUAGUCCCAAUGACCACCAAACUCCAGAACACAUGCCCGCAGCAUGUCCUAAAUGACCUGAAUAGUACGCUACGACUGACCAUCAGUCUGCGGGUGGAAAGUUGUGCUAAGGUUAACUCGAGUGCCCAACUCAUCCUGAAAGGUCCUCCAAAAGCUAGAUGUGAACUGAGAACUCCGAUCUGAUAUAAUAGAAACUGGCACCCCAUGAAGUUGAACCACCUCCCGAAUUUAGAUACGAGCCAACCUCUCGGCGCUAAAUGAAGACUGAACAAGAAGGAAGUGUGCUGACUUGGUCAGUCGAUCAAUGAUGACCUAAAUCCUAUCAACACCUCUAGAAGUCCGCGGUAAGCCCGCCAUAAAAUCUAUAGUAAUGCGAUCCCAUUUCCACUCCGGAAUGGGUAAUCUCUGAAACUCACCACCAGGCCUGAAAUGCUCGGCUUUUACCUACUGGCAGCACAAGCAACGGGAAAUAAAGUCAGCAAUAUCUCUCUUCAUUACACUCCACCAUUAAUGUUACCUCAAAUCAUGAUACAUCUUCAUUGUGCCCGGAUGGAUAGAGUAUCUAGGUUCAUGGGCCUCACAAAGUGUCAACCGUAUCAAAUCCCUAACUCUUGGAACACAGAUGCGGCUGAUGAAUCUCAACACUCCAUUAGGAUCUAAGGUAGCGUGACCACCAUCACCCGCUAACACUCGGUCUCUAAGGGCCACUAAGGCCUCAUCCUCAAACUGGCAACCAAGGAUCCUAUCAAGCAAAGAAGACUGAACUCCCAUAUGGGCAAACACACGUCUAGAAUCUGAGAUAUCCAAGUGAACCAUGCUAUUGGCUAAGAACUGAAUGUCCAAAGCAAAGGGUUGCUCCUUAACAAAUAAGAAGGCUAGACUACCCAUACUCACUGCCUUACGGUUCAAGGCGUCCUCUACCACAUUCGUCUUGCUCUGACAAUCGAGAAUAGAGAGGUCGUAGUCCUUCAAGACCUCAAUCCAAUGAUGCUACCUCGAAUUAAGGUCCCUUUGGCUCAUGAUGUACUAAAGACUCAUGUGAUUGAUAUAGAUCUCACAUCGAACUCCAUACAGGUAGUGCCUCCAAAUCUUAAGCGCGAAAAAUAUUGUCGCCAAUUGUAGGUCAUGGGUGGGGUAAUUGCGCUCAUGUAGCUUAAGUUGCCUCGACGCAUAAGCAAUAACCCCCCCUUGCUGCAUCAAAACACAACCCAAACUAACACCGGAUGCGUCAUAAUAAACCUUGAAUGCCUCACCCUCAACAGGUAGAGUCAAUAUAGGAGCGGUGGUAAGCAACUCCUUGAGCCUAAAAAACUUCUUCUCACACUCCUCCGAUCACUAAAAGGGAACAUCCUGGCAAGCCAACCGAGUCAAAGGUGUCGCUAUAGUAGAAAAUCCCUCAACAAAAUGCAUGUAGUACCCUACCAAUCCGACGAAGCUAUGAAUCUCAGUCACAGAAGUGGGCCUGACCCAGUCAUGGAUAGCCCCAAUCUUCGCCGGAUGCACCAUAAUGCCAUCCUUGGACACCACGUACCCCAAGUAUGCUACAGACUCAAGCAAAAACCUGCACUUUGAGAACUUGGCAUAAAGCCGGUGAUCUCUCAAAGUCUGAAGCACUAUCCUCAAAUGUUGCUCAUGCUCACUCCGGCUCCGUGAGUAUACCAAUAUAUCGUCGAUGAAGACUAUAACAAAGGAGUAAAGGUAUGACCUGAAUACAUGAGUCAUCAAGUCCAUGAAGGCAUCUGGGGAAUUAGUCAACCCAAAAGACAUCACUAGGAACUCAUAAUGGCCAUAACAACUCCUAAAUGUGGUCUUAGGGAUGUUUGUUGCCCUAAUCCUCAACUGGUGGUAACCGGAUCUGAGAUUGAUCUUAGAAAACACCUCGUCACCCUGAAGCUGGUCAAAUAGGUCAUCAAUGCGAGGCAUGGGGUAACGGUUCUUCACCGUCACCUUGUUCAGCUGCCUAUAAUCCGCAUAGUACCAUCCUCCUUCUUCACAAAUAAGACUGGGGCACCCCAAGGCGAUACACUAGACCAAAUGAAUCCCUUACCCAAGAGAUCCUGAAGAUGAACACUGAGCUCUGCGAGGGCCAUACGGUACGGUGAGAUAGAAAUAGGACAAGCCAAGUCAAUGGCAAAAUCAAUAUCACGAUCUGGGGGUAAGCCAGGCAGGUCGGCAGGAAACACAUCAACAAACUAUCAGACUAAUGGCACUGAAACAACCGUAGGGCCCUUUCUACUAACAUCUCUAACAUAAGCCAAGCAAGCCAAACAUAUGUUAGUCACUAACCUCCGAGCCUGAAUGCAAUAAAUCACCCCAACUGGUGUGCGACUACAAGAGCCCUGCCACACCACCGGCGAAAUACCAGGCAUGGCUAAGGUAACGGUCUUGGCAUAACAAUCCAAAACCGCUCGGUGAGAGGAUAACCAGUCCUUGCCCAGAAUUAUGUCGAAAUACAACAGAUCAAGUAAAAUAAGAUUAGCUCGAGUGUCUCGCCCAUGAACAAACACUAAACAAGAUCUAACGAUCUUAUCCACUACUAAAGAAUCACCUACCGGGGUCGAAACGCGUAACGACACUACUAAGGGCUCAAGGAUCAUACUCAAUCGAGGAGCACAAUAAAUAGAUACAUAAGAAUAAGUGGAGUCUGGAUCAAAUAAAGAUGAGGCAGGCUGAUGACAUAAAAGUAUCGUACAUGUAAUCACAUUUUCUAAAGCCUCGACCUCUACUCUAGCUGGAGCUACAUAAAACUGACCCUGGGUGCCUCUACCCCGUGCAUCAAUUCUGCCACCUAUCCUGCCUCCCUAGGGACCUCCCCGUACACCCUGAUGACCACCCCGAUGAUCCUGAUCUUGACCUCCUCUAGCUGGAGGUGCUGUUGUUCGUGCGGGUCUAGCUGGUUGUGGAGCUGGUGUGGCUGACCUAUAGAGAGGACACUCUCUGGACCAAUGAUCAAGCUCCCUGCAGUCAUAACAACCAUGUGGUGGUCUGCUCGCAACUAGAGGCCGGCCACCCCGACCUGAAGAACCUGACUGAGAACCACCUCGGCCCUGACUAGGAUCUUCACUAGAGCCACCCUGACGGUGUUGGUCACCCUAUGUAGUAUGAAGCGAUGCCUGGAAUGGGUGACUAGAUUGAUCAUGUUGGAACCUCUGGUGGGGGCCUGUCAUGUGAGUCUCUAGGCCUGAAUUGGGGCCCUCUGUGACUAUCAUUCUGCUAUGUCCUCUUGCCGCUGCCCCCUUGGGCCUCGCAACAUAGCUGCUCAAGAGUGUGAGCGUGAUCCACAACAUCAAGAAAGGAACGGCUCACUGAAACCAUGCACUGAGUCUUUAUGCGCAGCUGCAGUCUCAAUCUCUAACAAAACACUUAAUCCUUUCCUCCUCCUCCGUCGGUAAGAUCAUAGUAGCAUGACGGGAGAGCUCAAGGAAUUUGGCCUCAUACUUAGAAAUAGUCAUGGAGCCGUGCUCCAGCCUCGAAAAAUCAUCAUGAAGCCCAUCUGUGACGCUUCGCGGGAUAAACCGAACCUAGAAUGCCUUAGAGAACUCUACCCAAGAUACUGGUGGGGACCCAGCUGGCCUGGUCUCCAAGUAAGAACGCCACCACUUUCUGGCAAGCCCAUCUAACUAAUAAGCAAUGAAAUCAGCCCCUCUCACCUCUACCAGACCCAAAGUAUGUAGCCGCUUCCGACAAGUAGUAAGGAACUUAUGGGAAUCCUCUCCAACAGCCCCAGAAAACCUCGGCGGUGACAAUCUCAGAAACACCCCUAGCAUCUUCUGCCCUCGUAGUGGCAAGACCCCAUCUAAAACAUCUGGCUAGACGGUGGCAGGUGUCGAUGGUUGUUGAACAUCUAGAGCCACUGGGGUGGGCUGAUUCUGCGAUGCCAGAACUGGAGCUGGUGCUGGGGCUGGGGCUGGGGUUGGAGCUGGGGCUGGGGCAGGAGCCUGCUGCUGUAUACCCCAUAUGGCCACUAAAAUUUGGGCGAGCAUCGCCUGUAGGUCAGGAGAGGCGGCUGGUGCGGGUGGUGGCUGGGUUGGUCCCGGUCCCACCGGCUGAGGAGGAACAUGAUCUACUUGAGGCUCCGCCUCCGACUCUGGAGUCCUCUCUCUAUCUCGGGCUGAUGCUGCAGCCCUGCCUCAACCUUUAGAUUGGCCUCUGCCCCUAGCUGGGGCUCUAUUCGCGGGCUCGGGUGCAUCACCUUUUGUCGCUCCUGCACGCGUGCAAGCCAUCCUGUGAAAGAGUGAAACAAAUUAGAUUUCAUGAAACCAAUUUAGACAUACGAUGCACGAAAAUGAUACAAAACAGGGAAACUUCCUAACGACAACAUGUAACCUCCCGAAGAUAAGUCACGGACAUCUCCGCACCGAUCUGCAGGACUCUACUAGAUGUUAGCUCUAUACAAGUGAGACCGGUGAACCUGGGGCUCUGAUACCAACUUGUUACAACCCAAUUCCUCGAGUCACGAUGGCACUUACUAUAACCCACCAGUAGGCAAGCCAAUGCGUAUCCCGAAACAACUAGUAAUGGGAUUGAGGGUAGAAAACUAAACCCAACAACACAAUAAUAAUAACAACAGGAAUCACAAACGGAAGGGCGGAAGCAAGCCAAAACUAUGUACAAAUAAAAGAUCCCUCCCAGAACCUGGAAGUCACAAGUACAGAGCUACUAAAAAAAUGAGUACAAGUCCCAAAAGUGGACCACAAAAACAAGAUUGUCUAAAAAAGCAAAAGACAAGUCAAUAUAUAAAUACAGAAGGAGACGGGCAAAUCCAGGAUGCUAUGUGCUCACCCUUGCCUCCUAAUAUGACUGCAGCUGGCUCGAAAUCAACGCUGAUAGCUGGUGCUCGGACCUGCAUCACGAAAACAGAUGCAGACUGUAGUAUGACUAUCAAAAUGACAGGUACCCAAUAGGCAUCAUAGGCUGAUUUAGCAAGAAAGGAAAAAGUAAUAUGAAAUGCGAGAAUCUAACAUACUAACAAAAAUAAGCAUGAGGGAACAUCUAAUAGGUAUGCAGUUUGAUCCCUUGAAGCUACUAAGUUGGUAUCGUAGGAAAUUCCUUGUCCAUAUCUACUUUGUUACUUGCUUCCUCAUGUGUUUGUUGGAGACCAAUGUAUAGUGGUGGCCUGAAGAAUUUGUCAUUGCAUAAUUUGUUACAUUGGUAUACCCCCCAUCAAAUAUACAAAUCAAAUAACAACUUGGAUUUGGUUACUGGUUUUGUCAUGGGAAAAUGAUUUUCUUGGCCUUAAAGAGUGAGGGUCAUUUAACAUGCUAAAUGUGUACUGGAAGGUUAAGUGGCAAGUGAUUGACUAAGGAUCUAUUUGUGUAUUGAUGUUAAAGUUCACCAUCUUUUGUUAUGUUGUUUUGAUAAUUGAAAAAAGCUUCAAGUUUAAGGGUAAAGAAACUGAGGCAGCUUAUGUAAGAACUUGAAGUCUCAAACCUAACUUUGAUAAUGAAACAAAUCACAACUGUCAGUAAUCAACUCAUUGACUGUAAGCUGUAAGUAUCUUCAAGUUAAAUGUAUUGCAACCAGCUUAAAAGGUUAUGUAUUUUCUGCAUUUCCAAGUAAUGGUUUUCCUUGUUUAUUUGCUUUAAAAAUCAUAGAUGGUAAAGUAGUACUGGUUAGAUGGUAAGCCUAGAUGACCUUCACCUUUGCUUUAUUCAUUACAAAAAAAUCUAAGCUUAGUGAUAAGGAGCAUAUAAAAUACACAAAAGUAUCUGCAUUAGUUACAGGGGUAGGGCAUUCCAGCUAAACAAAUUAACUAAACAGUUAGACUUCAGAUAAGACGUUUGAGUUUUUGUGCUAGCAAAGCAUUUGGUGUUGCUUUUUGUCCAUAAAUACCAAAAAAUGACUGCGGAUCAUUCCCCAAAUCUUUCUGAUGAUUUUAUCAACUCUCCAAAAAUACCAACUUUCAUAGGCUUGCUUCACUGUCUGAGGCAUGACCCAUUUCAAUCCAAAAGUUGUAAGCUUCAGUAGUAACUGCAAUGUAGAAGGACAUGGCUGAUACUUGCUGAGUUUUGCUAACACAAAUAGCACCAGUGUGAGUUCUUUUGCAUAGGUUGUCUUGGGUUAGACAUGCCCCUCUUACAAAUGUAAAGUGUGUGGUUUCCUAUUCUUUAGAAACUUACAUAGUUGAACAAUAUAAAUUUUUUUCCUAAUCUUUAAUGCUCUCUUUUUACCUCUAUUUAUUAUAGGAAACAUAUAAAGAGAUCUUACGAGAAAAAUGGUAUCUCAAUCUGAAGCAUAUUACCAAGCUGCGGACGGAGAAAAGAAGAGAAGAAUAUACGGUCUUGGAUAUAAAGCGAAAAAUUACUACAAGCAUAAGUUUUGUGCCUCAUCAUCUGUACCAUCUUCAGUUUCUCAAUCAACAUCAACAACAAAUAUUGAUGAAUUUGUAAAGGAAAUGCUUCCUGCACUUACUAAUCAUUUUCUUCCUGUUAUUAUGGAGCGGGUACAAGAAGUGAUUACUCCCGUUGACAAUCCGUCACCUUUGACCCCCAUAGUGCCUCCUCCUGGUACUACUAAUGAGAAAGAGGUUGAUCCCUUAGUUUCAAGGGACGACGAUGCUAUCCCAUAGUCCCCUGCAGCUUGAACUUUUGAUCUUGUCUGUUGUUUUGGAAAUUACAAAUUGUGCAGUAACAAUAGUUUAUUAAUGUAGCUGCUUUUAAGAAUAGUUGAUACAUUGCUUUCGAUGUUUUGCACUAAAAAUAUGUGAUUAGAAUUUUGCUAUCUACAUAUUUUGAACAGUCUAAGUAUUAUUUCAUGUGAAUGUUGGUUAUUUUAGGGGUAUUUAAUAAUCGUCAUUUAAUUUAUUUCAACAGUGUAGAUUUAAAAUAAAUAAAUAAAAUUAUUUUAAAAGAAAUUUUUUAACAACAAAUUGAAUGACAAUUUGGUCAUUUCUAUAAAAAAAUAUUGGCGACGGGCUAGCGACGAACUUUUAAGUGGAAAAUGUGCAGAAUAUUUUGCGACAGAUUAGUGACCGACACUCCGUCACGAAGUUAUCCAAAGUGAUGAACUAAAUUAUGAAAUUUGCAAUUAAUUAUAUAAGUAUAAUUCGAAUUAAAUUAAAUGAUCAAGAAAAGUACAUUAAAACACCUCAAAAAAAAUUCAAAUUGCACCAAUGACAUUAGAAUAUCGAAACAAAGAAAUGAUCAAAAUUAAACUCCUUUUCAUAACAGUCCGAAUUAUAACAAAAAAAUUAAUUUUUCCUCGUAAAUGUACGAAACAUAUAAAAAUCAAGAAAAUUACAUCAAAAAACCUCAAAAAAUUCUCAAACUGCAUCAAUGACCUUAGAGUAUCGAAACAAAUAAAUGAACAAAAUUUUACUCUUUUUCGUGAUUGUUCGAAAAACAACAAAAAAAUUAUAUUUUACUUGUAAACGUAUGAAACAUAUAAAAAUAAAGAAAAUUACAUCAAAACAUGUUAAAAAAUUCUCCAACUGCACCAAUGACCUUAGAAUAUCGAGAAAAAAAAUGAUCAACAUUUACUAUUUUUCAUAACUGUCCAAAAAAUAACAAAAAAUUAAAUUUUCCUCGUAAAUGUCCAAAAGAUAUAACAAUCAAGAAAAGUACAGCAAAAUACCUCAAAAAAUUCUCAAACUGCACCAAUGACCUUAGAAUAUCGAAACAAAAGAAUAGUAAAUUUUUAACUAUUAUUCGUAUCAGUCUGAAAAAUAACAAAAAAAAAAAAUUUCCUCGUAAAUGUACGAAACAUAUUAAAAUCAAGAAAAGUACAUCAAAACACCUCAAAAUAUACUCAAGUUGCACCAAUGACCUUAGAAUAUAAAAGCAAAAAAAUAAUCGAAAUUUUACUCUUUUUCGUAACUGUCUAAAAUUAACAAAAAAAUUAUUUUUUCCUCGUAAAUAUACGAAACAUAUAAAAAUCAAGAAAAAUACAUCGAAACAUAUCAAAAAAUUCUCAAACUGCACCAAUGACCUUAGAAUAUCGAGGAAAAAAAUGAUCAAAAUUUUUAUCUUUUUCCUAACUGUCUGAAAAAUAACAAAAAAAAUAUUUUUUCCUCGUAAAUGUACGAAACAUAUAAAAAUUAAGAAAACUACAUCGAAACACCUCAAAAAAAAAUUCAAACUUCACUAAUGACCUUAGAGUAUCGAAACAAAUAAAUAAACCAAAUUUUACUCUUUUUCGUGACUGUUCAAAAAAUAAUAAAAAAUUUAAUUUUUACUCGUAAAUAUAUGGAAUAUAUAAAAAUAAAGAAAAUUAAAUCAAAACACCUUAAAAAAUUCUCCAACCGCACCGAUGAGAAUAUCGAAACAAAAAAAUGAUCAAAAUUUUACUUACUUUUGUAACUGUCCAAAAAAUAACAAAACAAAUAUUUUUUCUUCAUAAAUGUACGAAACAUUUAAAAAUAAAGUACAUCAAAACACCUCAAAAAGUUCUCAAACAACACCAAUGAUCUUAGAAUAUCGAAACAAAAAAAUGAUCAAAAUUUUACACAUUUUCGUAACUGUCCGAGAAAUAACAAAAAAUUAAACUUUUCCUCGUAAAUGUACGAAACAUAUAAAAAUCAAAAAAACUACAUCAAAACACCUCAAAAAUUUCUCAAAGUGCACCAACGACCAUAGAAUAUCGGGAAAAAAUGAUCAAAAUUUUACUAUUUUUCGUAACUAUCCGAAAAAUAAAAAAAAUUAAUUUUCUUUGAAAAUGUACGAAACAUAUAAAAUUCAAGAAAAGUACAUCAAAACAACUCAAAAAAUUCUCAAAUUGCACCAAUGACCUUAGAAUAUCGAGACAAAAAAAAAUCAAAAUUUUAAUCAUUUUCGAAACUGACAGAAAAAUAACAAAAAAUUUAAUUUUUCCUGGUAAAUGUACGAAAUAUACAAAAAUCAAGAAAAGUACAUCAAAACACCUAAAAAAAAAUCUCAAACUACACAAUUAACCUUACAAUAUCGAAACAAAAAAAUGAUCAAAAUUUACUCUUUUUUGUAACUGUUCAAAAAAAAUAUUUUUUCCUCGUAAAUGCCCGAAAAAUAUAAAAAUCAAGAAAAUUACAUCAAAAUACCUCAUAAAAUUCUCAAACUGCACCAAUGACCUUUCAAUAAUGAAACAAAAAAAAUGGUAAAAUUUUUAUUCAUUUUCAUAACUGUUUGAAAAAUAACAAAAAAAAUUAUUUUUUUAUUGUUAAAUGUACGAAGCAUAUAAAAAUCAAGAAAAGUACAUCAAAGCACCUCAAAAAAUUCUCAAACUGCACCAAUGACCGUAGAAUAUCGAAACAAAAAAGUGAUCAAAAUUUAAACUUUUUCAUAACUGUCCGAAAAAUACCAGAAAAAAUAAUUUUUCCUCGUAAAUGUCUAAGAGAUAUAAAAAUAAAAAUAAAUACAUCAAAACACCUCAAAAACUUCUGAAACUACACCAAUUACCUUAUAAUAUCGAAAUAAAAAAAUGAUCAAAAUAUUACACUUUUUCGUAACUGUCCAGAAAAUAACAAAAAAAUUAUUUUUUCCUCGUAAAUAAACGAAACAUAUUAAAAAUCUAGUACAUCAAAACACCUCAAAAAGUUCUCAAACUGUACCAAUGACCUUAGAAUAUCGAUACAAAAAUAUGAUCAAUAUUUUACUCUUUUUCAUUACUGUCCGAAAAAUUACCACAAAAAAAAAAUCCUCGUAAAUGUAUGGAACAUAUAAAAAUCAAGAAAAAUACAUAAAACACUUCAAAAAAUUCUCAGAUUGCACCAAUGACCUUAGAAUAUCGAAACAAAAAAAUGCUAAAAUUUACUCUUUAUCAUAACUUUUCUAAAAAUAACAAAAAAUAAUAAUUUUUCCUCUUAAAAGUCCGAAAGAUAUAAAAAUUAAGAAAAACACCUCAAAAAGUUCUCAAACUGCACCAAUGACCUUUGAAUAUCGAAAUAAAAAAAUGGUCAAAAUUUUACUUAUUUUGGUAAUUGUCUUCGUUAAUGCGCGAAACAUAUAAAAAUUAAGAAAAGUACAUCAAAACACCUCAAAAAAUUCUCAAACUGCAUCAAUGACCUUAGAAUAUCGAAACAAAAAAGAUGAUCAAAAUUUUACUCUUUUUUUGAACUUUCCAAAAAAUUACAAAAAUUUAAUUUGUCCUCGUAAAUGUACGAAACAUAUAAAAAUCAAGAAAAGUACAUCAAAACAUCUAAAAAAAUCUUAAACUGCACCAAUGACCUUAGAAUAUCAAAAUAAAAAAAUAUCAAAAUUUUACUAUUUUUCGUAACUGUCUGAAAAAUAACAAAAAAAAUAUUUUUCCUAGUAAAUGUCCGAAAGAUAUAAAAAUCCAGAAAAGUACAAUAAAACAUCUAAAAAAAAUCUCAAACUGCACCAUUAACCUUAGAAUAUCAACACAAAAAAAUGAUCAAAAUUUUAUUCUUUUUUGAAACUGUCCGAAAAAUAACAAAAAAAAAUUAUUUUUCUUCGUAAAUGUAUGAAACAUAUAAAAAUCAAGAAAAGUACAUCAAAAUACGUCAAAAAAUUCUCAAACUACACCAAUGACGUUAGAAUAUCGAUACAAAAAUACAAUCAAUAUUUUACUCUUUUUCGUUACUGUCCAAAAAAUAACAAAAAUAUAUUUUUUUCCUCGUAAAUGUAUGGAACAUAUAAAAAUCAAGAAAAGUACAUAAAACACUUCAAAAAAUUCUCAAAGUGCACCAAUGACCUUAGAAUAUCGAAACAAAAAAAUGCUAAAAUUUAACUCUUUUUCAUAACUGUUCUAAAAAUAACAAAAAAAUAUUUUUUCCUCUUAAAGGUUCGAAAGAUAUAAAAAUCAAGAAAAACACAUCAAAACACCUCAAAAAGUUCUCGAACUGCACCAAUGACCUUUCAAUUUCGAAAUAAAAAAAUAGUCAAAAUUUUACUUAUUUUGGUAAAUCUCUUCCGUUAAAGAGCGAAACAUAUAAAAAUUAAGAAAAGUACAUGAAAACACCUCAAACUGCAUCAUUGACCUUAGAAUAUCGAAACAAAAAAUGAUCAACAUUUGACUCUGUUUUUUAACUGUCCGAAAAAUAACAAAAAUUUAAUUUGUCCUCGUAAAUGUACGAAACAUAUAAAAAUCAAGAAAAGUACAUCAAAACACCUCAAAAAAAUCUUAAACUGCACCAAUGACCUUAGAAUAUCAAAAUAAUAAAAUAUCAAAAUUUUACCAUUUUUCGUAACUGUCUGAAAAAUAACAAAAAAAAUUGUUUUUCCUAGUAAAUGUCCGAAUGAUAUAAAAAUCCAGAAAAGUACAGUAAAACAUCUCAAAAAAUUCUCAAACUGCACUAAUGACCUUAGAAUAUCAAAACAAAAAAAGGAUCAAAAUUGAACACUUUUUUGUAACUGUCCGAAAAAUAACAAAAAAUUAUUUUUUUUCCGUUAAUGUAUGAACCAUAUAAAAAUCAAGAAAAUUACAUCAAAACAGCUCAAAAAAUUCUCAAACUACACCAAUGACGUUAGAAUAUCGAAACAAAAAAAUGAUCAAAGUUUUACACUUUUUCGUAACUAUCUGAAAAAAUUACAAAUAAAUUAUUUUUUCCUCUUAAAUGCUCUGAAGAUAUAAAAAUCAAGAAAAGUGCAUCAAAACACCUCAAAAAAUUCUCAAACUACACCAAUGACCUUAGAAUAUCGAAACAAAAGAAUGAUCAAAAUUUUACAAUUUUUCGUAACUGUCUGAAAAAUAACAAUAAAUUUAAUUUGUCCUAUUAAAUGUACCAAAAAUAUAAAAAUCAAGAAAAAUACAUCAAAACAUCUCAAAAAAAUCUCAAACUGCACUAAUAACCUUAGACUAUUAAAACAAAAAAAUGAUCAAAAUUUUCCUCUAUUUCGUAACUGUCUGAAAAAUAACAAAAAAUUUAAUUUUUUCCUCAUAAAUGUCCGAAACAUAUAAAAAUCAAGAAAAGUACAUGAAAACACCUUAAAAAAAUUUGAACUGCACCAAUGUCCUUAAAAUAUUGAAAUGAAAAAAUGAUCAAAAUCUUACUUUUAUUUCAUUUUUAUUCGAAAAAUAACAAAAAAAUUAUUUUUUCCUCAUAAAUGUCCGAAAGAUAGAAAAAUCACGAAAAGUACAUCAAAACAGCUCAAAAAUUCUCAAACUGCACCAAUGGCAUAAGAAUAUCAAAAUAAUAAAAUGACCAAAAUUUUACUCUUUUUCGUAACUGUCCAAAAAUAACAAAUAAUUUAAUUUGUUCUAGUAAAUGUACGAAACAUAUAAAAAUCAAGAAAAGUACAUCAGAACAUCUCAAAAAACUCUUAAACUGCACCAAUGACCUUAGAGUAUCGAAACAAAAAGUUAAUCAAACUUUUACUCUUUUUAGUAACUAACCAAAAAAUUUAAAAAAACAUUUAAUUUUUCCAAGUAAGUGUCCGAAAGAUAUAAAAAUUAAGAAAAGUACAUCAAAAUACCACAAAAAAUUCUCAAACUACAGCAAUGACCUUAGAAUAUUGAAGAAAAAAAUAUCAAAAUUUUACUCUUUUUCGUGACUGUCCAAAAAAUAACAAAAAGUUUAAUUUUUCCUCGUAAAUGUACUAAACAUAUAAAAAUCAAUAAAGGUACAUCAAAAUACCUCAAAAAAAUCUCAAACUGCACCAAUGCCCUUAGAAUAUCGAGAGAAAAAAAAUGAUCAAAAUUUUACUCUUUUUCGUAACUGUACGGAAAAUACCAAAAAAAAAAAAUUUCCUCGUAUAUACGAAAUAUUUAAAAAAAUCAAGAAAAGUACAUCAAAACACCACCAAAAAAAUCUCAAACUGCACCAAUGACCUAAGCAUAUCGAAACAAAAAAUUGAUCAAAAUUUGACUCUUUUAUGUAAUUGUCUGAAAAAUAACAAAAAAAUUUAUUUUUUUCUCGUAAAUGUUCGAAACAUAUAAAAAUCAAGAAAAGUAUAUCAACACACCUCAAAAAAUUGUCACACUGCAACAAUGACCUUGGAAUAUCAAAAACGAUCAAAAUUUUUCUCUUUUUUGUAAUUGUCCGAAAAAUAACAAAAAAAUUAAUUUUCUCAUCGUAAAUGUCCAAAACAAAUAAAAAUCAAGAAAAGUACAUCAACACACCUCAAAAUUUCACAAACUGCAUCAAUGACUUAGAAUAUCAAAACAAAAAAAUGAUCAAAAUUUUACACUUUUUUGUAUCUGUUCGAGUAAUAACAAAAAAAUUCAUUUUUACUCAUAAAUGUACGAAAAAAAUAUAGAUCAAGAAAAGUACAUCAAAACACCUCAAAAAAUUCUCAAACUGCCCCAAUGACUUUAAAAUAUCGAAACAAAAAAUGAUCAAAAUUUUACAGUUUUUCAUAACUGUCUGAAAAAUAAUAAAAAUUUUAAUGUUUCCUCAUAAAUAUUCGAAAGAUAUAUAAAUUAAGAAAAGUAUAUCAAAACACCUCAAAAAAUUGUCAAACUGCACAAAUGACCUUAGAAUAUCGAACAAAAAAGAUGAUCAAAAUUUUGCUCUUUUUCAUAACUCUCCGAAAAAUAACAAAAAAUUAUUUUAUCCUCGUAAAUGUACGAAACAAAUAAUAAUCAAGAAAAUAACGUUAAAACACCUCAAAAAAAAUUCAAACUGAACCAAUGACUUUAGAAUACCGAAACAAAGUGCUUUUCAAAAUUUUAAACUUUUUCGUAACUGUCCAAAAGAUAACAAAAAAAAAAAAAUUUCCUCGUAAAUUUACAAAACAUAUAAAAAUCAAGAAAAGUACAUUAAAACAACUCAAAAAAUUCUCAAACUGCACCAAUGACCCUAGAAUUUCUUUAUAAAAAAAGAUCAAAAUUGGACUCUUUUUCGUGACUGUCCAUAAAUGUUUCCUCGUAAAUGUUUUAAAGAUAUAAAAAUCAAGAAAAGUAUAUCAAAACACCUCAAAUAUUCUCAAAUUGCACCAAUAACUUUAGAAUAUCGAACCAAAAAAAUGAUCAAAAUUUUAUUCUUUUUCGUUAUUGUCAGAAAAAUAACAAAAAAAAUUAUUAUUCCUUGUAACUGGCCGAAAGAUAUAAAAAUCAAGGAAAGUACAUCAACUCACCUCAAAAAAUUCUCCAACUGCAUCAAUUAACAUAGAAUGUCGAAACAAAAAAAUGAUCAAAAUAUUAUAUUUUCUCGUAACUGUCCGUAAAAUAACAAAAAUAUUAAGUUUUCCUCGUAAAUGUACAAAACAUAUGAAAGUCAAGAAAAGUACACCAAAACAGCUCAGAAGAUUCUUAAACUGAACCAAUGACCUUAGAAUAUAGAAUCAAAAAAAUUAUCAAAAUUUUAGUCAUUUUUGUAAUUGUCCGAAAAAUAACAAAAAAUUUAAUACUUCCUCGUAGAUGUACGAGAAAUAUUAAAAUCAAGAAAAGUACAUCAAAACACCUCAAAAAAUUCUCUGACUGCACCAAUCAACAUAGAAUUUCGAAACAAAAAAAUGAUCAAAAUAUUAUAUUUUCUCGUAACUGUCUGUAAAAUAACAAAAAAAUUAAAUUUUCCUUGUAAAUGUAUGAAACAUAUAAUAAUAUAGAAAAGUACAUAAAAACGCCUCAAAAAAAUACUAAAACUGCACCUAUUAACUUAGAAUAUCGAAACAAAAAAAUGAUAAAAAAUUCACUUUAUUUCGUAACUGUCCUAAAAUAAAAAAAUAUUAAUUUUUACUCGAAAAUGUUUGAAAGAUAUAAAAAUAAAAAUAAAAAGUACAUCAAAACACCUCAAAAAAUUCUAAAACUAUACCAACGACCAUAGAAUAUUCAAAAAAAAAAGAUCAAAAUCUUACUCAUUUUCAUAAAUGUCCGAAAAAUAACAAAAAAAAUAUUUUUCUCGUAAAUAUACGAAACAUAUAAAAAUGAAGAAAAGUACAUCAAAACACUUCAAAAAAUUCUCAAACUGCACCAAUGACCCUCGAAUAUCAAAAAAAUAUAUAUCAGAAAUUUACUCUUUUGCGAAACUAUCCGAAAAAUAACAAAAAAAAUUAUUUUUCCUUGUAAAUGUACGAAAUAUAUAUAAAAAAAUACAUUAAGAUACCUUAAAAAUUUUCAAACUUCACCAAUCACCUAAAAAUAUCGAAACAAACAAUAAUCAAAAUUGUACUAUUUUCCGUAAUAGUCUAAAAAUGACUAAAGAUUUAAUUUUUCCUCGUUAAUGUAUGAAACAUAUAAAAUCAAGAAAAAAAUAUCAAAACACCUCAAAAAAAAUUCUUAAAUUGCACCAAUGAUCUUAGAAUACUGAACCAAAAAAAUGAUCAAAAUUUAACUCUUUUUCGUAACAGUUCAAAAAAUAACAAAAAACUUAGUUUUUUCAGGUAAAUGUAUGAAACAUAUAAAAAUCAAGAAAAGUAUAUCAAAACACAUCAAAAAAUUCUUAAACUGCACCAAUGACCUUAGAAUAUCUAAACAACAAACUAAUCAAAAUUUUACUCUUUUACAUAACUGUCCAAAAAAUUUAAUGUUUCCUCGUAAAUGUAUGAAACGUAUAAAAAUCAAAAAAAGUAUAUCAAAACAGCUCAAAAAAUUCUCAAUCUGCAGCAAUGACCUUAGAAUAUCGAAAAUUUCACACUUUUUCGUAACUAUCCAAAAAAUAAUAAAUAAUUUAAUUUUACCACGUAAAUAUACGAAACAUAUAAAGAUAAUGAAAAGUAUAUCAAAACACCUCAAAAAAUUAUAAAACUGCACCAAAGACCUUAGAAUAUCGAAACAAAAAAAUGAUCAAAAUAUUACUCUUCGUGUAACUAUCCGAAAAAUAACAAAAAAAUUAAUGUUUCCUUGUAAAUGUACGAAACAUUUAAAAAUAAAGAAAAGUACAUCAAAACACCUCAAAAAAUACUCUAGGUUCACCAAUGACCAUAGAAUAUCGAAACAAACAAAUGAUAGAAAUUUAACACUUUUUCGUAUCUAUUAGAAAUUUAACAAAAAAUUUAAUUUUUCCUCGUAAAUGUACGAAACAUAUAAAAAUCAAGAAAAGUACAUCAAACCACCUCGAAUAAUUCUCAAACUCCACCAAUUACCAUAGAAUAUCGAAAUAAAAAAAUGAUAAAAAAUUUACUAUUUUUCAUAACUGUCCGAAAAAUAACAAAAAAAUUAAUUUUCCUCAUAAAUAUACGAAACAUAUAAAAAUCAUGAAAAGUACAUCAAAACACCUCAAAAAAUUCUCAAACUACACCAAUGACCUUAGAACAUCGAAAUAAAAAAAAUGAACAAAAUUUUACUCUUUUUCGUAAAUGUCCAAAAAUAAGAAAAUAUAUAUUUUUCCUUGUAAAUGUACGAAAAAUAUAAAAAUCAAGAAAAGUGCUUCUAAAACACCUCAAAAAUUUCUAUUAAUUGCACCAAUGACUUUUGAAAAUCGAAAAGAAAGAUUGAUCAAAAUUUUACUCAUUUCGUAACUGUCCUGAAAAAUAGCAAAAAAAAUUAUUUUUUCCUCGAAAAUGUCCGAAAGAUAUAAAAAUUAAGAAAGGUAUAUCAAAACACCUCAAAAAAUUCUCAAAUUGCACCAAUGACCUAAAUAUAUCAAAAAGUAUGAUCAAAAUUUUACGCUUUUCAGUUAAUGUCCGAAAAUUGACAAAAAUUUAAUUUUUCCUCGUAAAUAUACGAAACAUAUAAAAAUAAACAAAAAUACAUCAAAACACUUCAAAAAAUUCUCAAAUUGCACCAAUGACCUAAAUAUAUCAAAAAGUAUGAUCAAAAUUUUACGCUUUUCAGUUAAUGUCCGAAAAUUGACAAAAAUUUAAUUUUUCCUCGUAAAUAUACGAAACAUAUAAAAAUCAACAAAAAUACAUCAAAACACUUCAAAAAAUUCUCAAACUACACCAAUGACCUCAGAAUAUCGAACAAAGAAAAGAUCAAAGUUAUACUCUUUUUCGUAACUGUCCGAGAAAUAACAAUAGAAUUAUUUUUUCCUCGUAAAUGUACGAAAAAUAUAAAAAUCAAGAAAAGUACAUCAAAACACUUCAAAAAAUUCUCAAACUACACCAAUGACCUCAGAAUAUCGAACAAAGAAAAGAUCAAAGUUAUACUCUUUUUCGUAACUGUCCGAGAAAUAACAAUAGAAUUAUUUUUUCCUCGUAAAUGUACGAAAAAUAUAAAAAUCAAGAAAAGUACAUCAAAACACUUCAAAAAAUUCUCAAACUACACCAAUGACCUCAGAAUAUCGAACAAAGAAAAGAUCAAAGUUAUACUCUUUUUCGUAACUGUCCGAAAAAUAACAAAAAAAUAAUUUUCCUCAUUAACGUUCGCAAGAUAGAAAUCAAGAAAAGUACAUCAAAACACCUCAAAAAAUUCUCAAACUGCACCAAUGACUUUGGAUUAUCGAAAUAAAAAGUGAUCAAAAUUUUACUCCUUUCAUAACCGUCCCAAAAAUAAUAAUAAAAAAAAUUUCCUCGUAAGUAUACAAAACGUAUAAAAAUCAAGAAAAGUACAUCAAAACACCUCAAAAAAAUUCUCAAACUGAAAAUCAAGAAAAGUACAUCAAACACCUUUAAAAAGUCUCAAACUACACCAAUGACCUUAGAAGAUCAAAAAAAUGAGCAAAAAUUAACACAUUGUAAUAACUGUCUGAAAAAUAACACAAAAAUAACAAAAAAAACUACUUUUCCCUCGUAACUGUACGAAAUGUAUAAAUAUAAAAAAAAGUACAUCAAACACCUCAAAAAUAUCUCAAACUGCACCAAUGAUCAUAGAAUAUCUAAACAAAAAAUGAUCAAAAAUUUUCUCAUUUUCGAACUAAAUGAAAAAUUACAAAAAAAAAUUAUUUUUCUUCAUAAAUGUCCGAAGAUAAAAAAAUCAAGGAAAGUAUAUCAAAAACACCUCAAAAAAUUCUCAACCUUUACCAAUGACCUUAGAAUAUCAAAACUAAAAUAUGAUCAAAAUUUUAUUCUUUUUCGUAACUAUUGGAAUAAUAACAAAAAAAUUAAUUUUACCUCAUAAAUGUACAAAACAUAUAAAAAUCAAGAAAACUACAUCAAAACACCUCAUAAAAUUCUCAAACUUCACCAAUGACCUUAGAAUAUCGAAACAAAAAGAUGAUAAAAAUAUUACUCUUUUUCGUAACUCUCGGAAAAAUAACAAAAAAAUUGAUUUUUCCUCAUAAAUGUAAGAAACAUAUAAAAAACAAUAAAAGUACUUCAAAACACAUCAAAAAAAUCUCAAACUUCACCAAUGACCUUAGAAUAUGAAAACAAAAAAAUGACCAAAAUUUUACUCUAUUUCCUAACAUUCCAAAAAAUAACAAAAAGUUUAAUUUUUCCUCGUGAAUGUAUGAAAGAUGUAAAACUCAAGAAAAGUACAUCAAAAACACCUAAAAAAAUUCUCAAACUUUACCAAUGACCUUAGAAUAUCGAAAAAAAAUUAUAUAAAUUUUAGGCAUUUACGUAACUGUCCGAAAAAUAACAAAAAAAUUAUUUUUUCCUCAUAAAUGUCUGAAAGAUAUAAAAUCAACAAAAAUACAUCAAAACACCUGAAAAAAUAUCAAACUGUACCGGUGACCAUAGAAUAUCGAAACAAAAAAUAAAUCAAAAAUUUACUCAUUUGAGUAAAUGUUCGAAAAAUAAGUAAAAAAUUAUUUUUUCCUUGUAAAUAUUCGAAAGAUAUAAAAAUAAAGAAAAGUACACCAAAACAACUCAAAAAUUCUCAAACUUUACCAAUGACCUUAACAUAUUAAAAAAAAAAUUAUCAAAUUUUUUCUCUUUUUCGUAACUGUCCAAAAAAAACAAAAAAAAUAAUUUUCCCCAUAAAUGUACGAAAUAUAGAAAAAUCAAGAAAAAUGCACCAAAACGCCUAAAAAAAAUUCUCAAACUGCACCAGUGACCUUAGAAUAUUGAAACAAAAAAAUGAUCAAAAUUUUACUCCUUCUCGUAACUAUUCGAAAAAUAACAAAAAAAAUAUUUUUUCCUCGUAAAUGUCCUAAAGAUAUAAAAAUUAAGAAAAGGACAUGAAAAUCACAUCAAAGAAUUCUCAAACUUCACCAAUGGCCUUAGAAUAUGAAACAAGAAAAUGAUCAAAACGUUACUCUUUUUCGUAAUUGUUGGAAAAAUAACAAUAAAUUUAAGUUUUCCUUGUAACAGUACGGAAUAUAUAAAAAUCAAGAAAAAUAAAUCAAAACACCUCAAAAAAUUCUAAAUCUGCACCAAUGACCUUAGAAUAUUGAAACAAAAAAAGAUCAAGAUUUAACUCUUUUUCGAACCUGUCCGAAAAAUAACAAAGAAUUAAUUUUUCCUCAUAAAUAUAAGAAACAUUUAAAAAUGAAGAAAAGUACAUUAAAAUACCUAAAAAAAUUCUCAAACUGCACCAAUGACCUUAGAAUAUCAAAACAAAUAAAUGAUCAAAACAGUACAAUUUUUCCAAACUGUUUGAAAAAUAACAAUAAAUUUAUUUUUUAAUCCUAAAUGUGUGAAAGAUAUAAAAAUCAAGAAAAGUACAUCAAAACACCUCAAAAAAAAUCUCAAACUGCACCAAUGACCUUAAAAUACCAAAAGAAAAAAUUAUCAAAAUUUUACUCCUUUUCGUAACUAUCCGAAAAAUAACAAAAAAAAUUAUUUUUCCUCGUAAAUGUCCUAAAGAUAUAAAAAUUAAGAAAAGAACAUGAAAAACACUUCAAAGAAUUCUCAACCUUCACCAAUGACCUUAGAAUAUGAAACAAGAAAAUGAUCAAAAUUUUACGCUUUUUCGUAAUUGUUGGAAAAAUAACAAUAAAUUUAAGUUUUCCUUGUAAGAGUACGAAAUAUAUAAAAAUAAAGAAAAAUAAAUCAAAACACUUGAAAAAAUUCUAAAAACUGCAUCAAUGACCAUAGAAUAUCGAAACAAAAAAUGAUCAAAAUUUUAAUCUGUUGUGUAACUGUCCGAAAAAUAAAUAAAAAAUUUAUUUUUCCUCGUAAAUAUACGAAACAUACAAAAAACAAGAAAAGUACAUCAAUACACCUCAAAAAAUUCUGAAAUUGCAUCGAUGAUCUUAGAAUAUCGAAACAAAAAAAUCAUCAAAAAUUUACUCUUUUUUCGUAACUGUCCGAAAAAUAACUAAAGAAACUAUUUUUCCUCGUAAAUGUACGAAACAUACAAAAAUCAAGAAAAGUACAUCAAAACACCUCAAAAAAUUCUCAAAUUGCACCGACGAUCUUAGAGUAUCGAAACAAAAAAGCGAUCAAAAUUUUACACUUUUUUGUUACUGUCCGAAUAAUAACAAAAAUUUAAUUUUUCCAUGUAAAUAUACGAAACAUAUAAAAAUCAAGAAAUGUACAUCAAAACACAUUAAAAAAUUCUCAAACUGCACCAAUGACCUUACAAUAUCGAAACAAAAAUAUGAUAAAUUUUUUUCUCUUUUUCGUAACUAUCCAAAAAAUAAGAAAAAAAUUUAAUUUUUCCUUGUAAGUGUGAAAUAUAUAAAAAUCAAGAGAAAUAUAUCAAAACACCUCAAAAAAAAAUUCAAACUGCACCAAUGACCUUAGAAUAUUGAAAAAAAAUGUUCAAAAUUUAUCUUUUUUACGUAACUGUCUGAAACUUAAUAAAAAAAAAAAAUUUCCCCAUAAAUGUUCGUAAGAUAUAAAAAUCAAGAAAAGUACAUCAAAAACACUUCAAAAAAUUCUCAAACUUCACCAAUGACCAUAGAAUUUCAAAACAAAAAACUAAUCAAAAUUUUAUUCUUUUUCGUAAAUGUCUGAAAAAUAACAAAAAAAAAAAAAUUUCCUUGUACAUGUAUGAAACAUAUAAAAAUCAAGAAAAGUACAUCAAAACACCUCAAAAUUUUUUGAAACUUUACCAAUGACCUAAGAAUAUCGAAACAAAAAAAUGAUCAAAAUUUUACUCUUUUUCGUACUUGUCCAAAAAAUAACAAAAAAUUUAAUUUUUCCUCGUACAUGUAUGCAACAUAUAAAAAUCAAGAACAGUAUAUCCAAACAUCUCAAAAAAUUCUAAAACUAUACCAAUGACCUAAGAAUAUCGAAACAAAAAAAUGAUCAAAAAUUUAUUCUUUUACAUAAUUGUCUAAAUAAACAAAAAAUUUAAUUUUUCCUCGUAAAUGUUCGAAAGAUAUUAAAAUCAACAAAAGUACAUCAAAACAACUCAAAAAAAAAAUCAGAGUGCACCAAUGGCAAUAAAAUAUCGAAACAAAAGAAUGAUCAAAAUUUUAUUCGUUUUAGAACUUGUCUGAAAAAUAACAAAAAAAAUAAUUUAUCCUAAUAAAUGUACGAAACAUAUAAAAUUUAAGAAAAGUAUAUCAAAAUACGUCAAAAAUAUCUGAAACAGCACCAAUGGCAUUAGAAUAUCGAAACAUAGAAAUGAUAAAAAAUUUACUCUAUUUCAUUACUGUCCGAAAAAUAACAAAAAGAUAAUUUUUUCCUAACAACAUCGAAACACCUCAAAAAAUUCUGAAACUACACCAAUGACCUAACAAUGUCGAAACAAAAAUAUUAUCAAAAUUUUACUGUUUUUUGUAACGGUCCGAAAAAUAACAAAAAAAUUAAUUUUUCCUCGUAAAUGUACUAAACAUAUAAAAAUCAAGAAAAGUAAUCAAAACACAUCAGAAAAUUCUCAAACUGCACCUAUCUUAGAAUAUAAAACCAAAAAAAUAAUCAAAAUUUUACUCUUUUUCGUAACUGUCCGUAAAAUAAGAAAAAAGUAUUUUUUCUUCAUAAAUGUUUGAAAGAUAUAAAAAUCAUAAAAAGUAAAUCAAAACACCACAAAAAAUUCUAAAACUGCACCAAUCACCUUAGAAAAUCGAAAAGCAAAGUUGAUCAAAAUUUUACAAUUUUCGUAACAGUCCUGAGAAAUAGCUAAAAAAAUUAUUUUUUCCUCGUAAAUGUCCGAAAGAUAUAAAAAUCAAGAAAGGUAUAUCAAAACACCUCAAAAAAUUCUCAAACUGCACAAUGAUCUUAGAAUAUCGAAAAAAAUGAUAAAAUUUUUACUCGUUUUGGUUACAGUCCAAAAAUUAACAAAAAAUUUAAAUUUUCCUCGUAAAUGUACGAAACAUAUAAAAAUUAAGAAAAGUACAUCAAAACACCUCAAAAAAUUCUCAAACUGCACCAAUGACCUUAGAAUAUCGAAACAAAAAAAAAGAUCAAAAUUAUAAUCUUUUUCGUAAGUGUCCGACAAACAACAAAAAAAUUAAUUUUUCCUCGUAAAUGUAGGAAAAAUAUUAAAAUAAAAAAAAGUAUAUCAAAACACGUCCUAAAAUUCUAAAACUUCACCAAUGACCUUAGAAUAUCGAAAUAAAAAAAUGAACAAAAUUUUACUCUUAUUCGUAACUGUGCGAAAAAUAACAAAAAAAAAAAUUUUCCUCAUAAAUGUACGAAAAAUAUAAAAAUCAAGAAAAGUACAUCAAAAUACCUCAAAAGCUUCUCAAUCUCCACCAAUGACAUUAGAAUAUCGAAACAAUAAAGAGAUCAAAAUUUUACUCUUUUCUGUAACUGUCCGGCAAAUAACAAAAAAAAAAGUAUUUCCUCGUAAACGUUCGAAAGAUUAAAAUCAAGAAAAGUACAUCAAAACACCUCAAAACAUUCUCAAACUGUACCAAUGAACUUGGAAUAUCGAAAAAAUGAUCAAAAGUUUAAUCUUUUUGGUAACUGUCUGAAAAAUAACAAAAAAAAUAUAUUUUCCUCGUUAAUGUACGAAACAUAUAAAAUUAAAAAAAAGUACAUCAAACAUCUCAUAAAAAUCUCAAACUGAACCAAUGGUCUUAGAAUAUCUAAACAAAAAAUGAUCAAAUUCUUUAUCUUUUUCGAAAUCGAAUGAAAAAUUACCCAUAAUUUAUUUUUCAUCGUAAAUGUCUGAAGAUAUAAAAAUCAAGGAAAGUACAUCAAAAACACCUUAAAAAAUUCUCAAACUUUACCGAAGACCUUAGAAUAUCGAAACUAAAGUAUGAUAAAAAAUUUACUCUUUUUCGUAACUGUUGGAAAAAUAACAAAAAAUUUAAUUUUACCUCAUAAAUGUACGAAACAUAUAAAAAUAAAGAAAAGUACAUCAUAACACCUCAUAAAUUCUCAAACUUCACCAAUGACCUUAAAAUAUCGAAACAAAAAAAUGAUCAAAAUAUAACUCUUUUUCAUAACUGUCAGAUAAAUAACAAAAAAAAUGAUUUUUCCUUGUAAAUGUACGAAUCAUAUAAAAACAAUUAAAGUACAUCAAAACACCUCAAAAAAAUCUCAAACUUCACCAAGGAACUUAGAAUAUGAAAACAAAAAAAUGACUAAAAUUUUACUCUAUUUCGUAACUUUCCGAAAAAUAACAAAUAGUUUAAUUUUUCCUCGUCAAUGUAUGAAAUAUACAAAAAUCAAGAAAAGUACAUCAAAAACACCUCAAAAAAUUCUCAAACUUUACCAAUGACCAUAGAAUAUCAAAAAAAAUUCUCAAACUUUACCAAUGUAUGAAAUAUACAAAAUUUACUCUUUUACGUAAGUGUCCGAAAUAACAAAAAAAUUAUUUUUUCCUUGUAAAUAUCCGAAAGAUAUAAAAUCAAGAAAAAAAUAUAUCAAAACACCUCAAAAAAAUCUCAAACUGCACCGGUGACGAUAGAAUAUCGAAACAAAAAAUAAAUCAAAAUUUUGCUCGUUUGCGUAAAUGUCCGAAAAAUAACAAAAAAAUUAUUUUUCCUCGUAAAUGUCCCAAAGAUAUAAAAAUAAAGAAAAGUACACCAAAACACCUCAAAAAUUCUCAAACUUUACCAAUGACCUUAGAAUAUUAAACAAAAAAAUUAUCAAAUUUUUUCUCUUUUUCGUAAUUGUCCAAAAAAAAACAAAAAAAAUAAUUUUUCCCCGUAAAUGUACAAAAUAUAUAAAAAUCAAGAAAAAUACAUCAAAACGCCUAAAAAAAUUCUCAAACUGCACCAAUGAUCUUAGAAUAUCGAAUAAAAAAUGAUCAAAAUUUUAAUCUUUUUUGUAACCAUCCUAAAAAUAACAAAAAAAUUAAUUUUUCCUCAUAAAUGUACGAAACAUAUAAAAGUCAAGAAAAUUAUGUCAAAACACCUUAAAAAAUUCUAAAUCUGCACCAAUGACCUUAGAAUAUUGAAACAAAAAAAAAAUCAUGAUUUAACUCUUUUUCGAACAUGUCCGAAAAAUAACAAAAAUUUAAUUUUUCCUCAUAAAUAUAAGAAACAUUUAAAAAUCAAGAAAAAUAUAUCAAAACACCUCAAAAAAUUCUCAAACUGCACCAAUGACCUUAGAAUAUCAAAACAAAUAAAUGAUCAAAAUAUUAUAAUUUUUCCAAACUAUUCGAAAAAUAACAAUAAAUUUAUUUUUUAAUCCUAAAAUGUGUGAAAUAUAUAAAAAUCAAGAAAAGUACAUCGUCAAAAGAAUUCUCAAACUACACCGAUGACCUUAGAAUAUUGAAACAAAAAAAUGAUCAAAAUUUUGUACUUUUUAGUAACUAUUCGAAAAAUAAUAAAUUUUUUAAUAUUUACUCGUAAAUGUACGAAACUUAUAAAAAUCAAGAAAAGUACAUCAUAACACCUCAAAAAAAAAAAAUCUCAAACUGCACCAAUGACCUUAAAAUAUCAAAACAAAAGAAUGUAUAAAAUUUUACACUUUUCGUAACUGUCCGAAAAAUAACAAAAAAAAUUAAUUUUUUCUCGUAAAUGUCCUAGAAAUAUAAAAAUUAAGAAAAGUAUAUGAAAAACACCUGAAAGAAUUCUCAAACUUCACCAAUGACCUUAGAAUAUGAAACAAGAAAAUGAUCAAAAUGUUACUCUUUUUCGUAACUGUUGGAAAAAUAACAAUAAAUUUAAGUUGUCCUCGUAACAUUACGAAAUAUAUAAAAAUAAAGAAAAUAUUUAAAUCAAAACACCUCAUAAAAUUCUAAAAACUGCAUCAAUGACCUUAGAAUAUCGAAACAUAAGAAUGAUCAAAAUUUUACUCUUUUUCGUAACUGUCUGAAAAAUAACUAAAAAAAUUAUUUUCAUCGUAAAUGUACGAAACAUACAAAAAUCAAGAAAAGUACAUCUAAAACACCUCAAAAAAUUCUCAAAUUUCCCCGAUGAGCUUAUAAUAUCGAAACAAAAAAAUGAUCAAAAUUUUACUAUUUUUCCGUAUCUGUCCAAAAAAUAACUAAAAAAAUUAUUUUUCCUCGAAAAUGAACGAAACAUAGAAAAAUCAUGAAAAGUAGAUCAAAACACCUCAAAAAAUUCUUAAAUUGCACCGAUGGUCUUAGAAUAUCGAAACAAAAAAAUGAUCAAAAUUUUACACCUUUUCUUUACUGUCCGAAUAAUAACAAAAAAAUUAAUUUUUCCGUGUAAAUAUACGAAAUAUAUAAAAAUCAAGAAAUGUACAUCAAAAGGCAUUAAAAUAUUCUCAAACUGCACCAAUGACCUUAGAAUACCGAAACAAAAAUAUGACAAUUUUUUUUCUCUUUUUCGUAACUAUACAAAAAAUAACAAAAAAAAUUUAAUUUUUCCUUGUAAAUGUAUGAAAUAUAUAAAAAUCAAGAAAAAUACAUCAAAACAGCUCAAAAAAAUUCAAACUGCACCAAUGACCCUAGAAUAUCGAAAAAAAAGAUUUUUAUUUCUUUUUUUCGUAAUUGGCUGAAACAUAAAAAAAAAAAUAUUUCCCCCCCGUAAAUGUUCAAAAGAUAUAAAAAUCAAGAAAAGUACAUCAAAAACACUACAAAAAAUUAUCAAACUUCACCAAUGACCAUAUAAUAUCAAAACAAAAAAAUAAUCAAAAUUUUAUUCUUUUUCGUAAAUGUCCGAAAAAUAACAAAUUUUUUAAUUUUUCCUCAUACAUGUACGAAACAUAUAAAAAUCAAGAAAAGUACUUCAAAAUACCUCAAAAAAUUCUGAAACUAUACCAAUGACCUAAGAAUAUCGAAAGAAAACUGAUCAAAAUUUGACUCUUUUUCGUAACUGUCCAGAAAAUAACAAAAAAUUUAAUUUUUCCUCGUACAUGUACGUAACAUAUAAAAAUCAAGAAAAAUAUAUCAACACACCUCAAAACAUUCUGAAACUAUACCAAUGACCUAAGAAUAUCGAAACAAAAAAAUUAUCAAAAUUUUUCUCUUUUUCAUAAUUGAAUAAAUAAACAAAAAAAUUAAUUUUUUCGCGUAAAUAUCCGAAAGAUAUUAAAAUCAACAAAAGUUCAUCAAAACAACUCAAAAAAAAUUCAGAGUGCACUAAUGACAUAAGAAUAUCGAAACAAAAGAAGGAUCAAAAUUUUAUUCUUUUUCGAACCUGUCUGAAAAAUAACAAAAAAAUUAAUUUUUCUUAGUAAAUGUACGAAACAUAUAAAAUUUAAGAAAAGUACAUCAAAAUAUCUGAAAAUGCACCAAGGGCCUUAGAAUAUCGAAACAAAGAAAUGAUCAAAAUUUUACUCUUUUUCAUUACUGUCCGAAAAAGUACAAAAAAUUAAAUUUUUCCUCGUAAAUAUACAAAACAUAUAAAAAUCAAGAAAAGUACACCGAAACAACUCAAAAAAUUCUAAAACUACACCAAUGACGUAACAAUGUCGAAACAAAAAAACUAACAAUUUUUUUACUCUCUUUCAUAAGGGUCCGAAAAAAUAACAAAAAAAUUAUUUUUUUCUCGAAAAUGUACUAAACAUAUAAAAAUCAAGAAAAGUAAUCAAAACACCCCAGAAAAUUCUCAAACUGCACCUAUGACCUUAGAAUAUCAGAAAAAAAAGAUAAUCAAAAUUUUACUCUUUUUCGUAACUGUCCGAAAAAUAAUAAAAAUUUAUUUUUUUCUCAUAAAUGUUUGAACGAUAUAAAAAUCAUAAAAAGUAAAUCAAAACACGUCAAAAAAUUCUCAAACUGCACUAAUGAGCUUAGAAAAUUGAAAUAAAAAAUUGACCAAAAUUUUAAAAUUUUCGUAACUAUGCUGAAAAUAGCUAAAAAAAUUAUUUGAUCCUCGUAAAUGUCCGAAAGAUAUAAAAAUCAAGAAAGGUACAUCAAAACAUCUCUAAAAAUUCUCAAACUGCACUAAUAACCUUAGAAUAUAAAAAAAAAAUGAUUAAAAGUUUACUCUUUUUGGUUACUGUCCAAAAAUUAACAAUAAAUUUAAUUUUACCUCCUAAAUGUACGAAACAUAUAAAAAUCAAGAAAAGUACAUCAAAACACCUCAAAAAAUUCUCAAACUUCACCAAUGACCUUAGAAUAUCGAAAAAAGAGAGGAUCCAAGUUAUACUCUUUUUCGUAAGUGUUCCACAAAUAACAAAAUAAAUAAUUUUUCCUCGUUAAUGUACGAAAAAUAUAAAAAUCAAGAAAAGUACAUCAAAACACCUCAAAGAUCUCUCAAAUUGCACCAAUGACCUUAGAAUAUCGAAACAAUAAAGAGAUCAAAAUUUUACUCUUUUUCGUAACUGUCCGAAAAAUUACAUAAAAAAUUAAUUUUUCCUCGUAAAUGUACUAAACAUAGAAAAAUCUAGAAAAGUAAUCAAAAAACCUUAGAAAAUUCUUAAACUGCUCCUAUGAACUUAGAAUAUCAGACCAAAAAAAUGAUCAAAAUUUUACUCUUUUUCGUAAUUGUCCAAAAAAUAACAAAAAUUUAAUUUUCCCUCAUAAAUGUUUGUAAGAUAUAAAAAUCAUAAACAGAAAGUCAAAACAGUUCAAAAAAAUCUCAAACUGUACCAAUGACCUUAGUAUAUCGAAACAAAAAAAAUGAUCAAAAUUUAACUCUUAUUAACAACUGUCCGAAAAAUAACAAAAAAUUUAAUUAUUCCUCGUAAAUGUAGUAAACAUAUAAAAGUCAAGAAAAGUAAUCAAAACACCUCACAAAAUUCUCAAACUGCACCUAUGACCUUAGAGUAUCAGAACAAAAAAAUGAUAAAAAUUUACCCUUUUACGUAACUGUCCGAAAAAUAAAAUAAAAUUAUUUUUUCCUCGUAAAAGAAUGAAACAUAUAAAAAUUAAGAAAAGUACAUCAAAAUACCUCAAAAAAAUCUUAUACUAAACCAAUGACCUUAGAAUAUCAAAACAAAAAAAAUGAUCAAAAUUUUACUCCUUUACGUAACUAGCCAAAAAAUAACAAAAAAUUUAAUUUUUCCUUGUAAAUGUAGGAAACAUAUAAAAAUAAAGAAAAGUACAUUAAAACAACUCAAAAAAUUCUCAAACUGCACCAAUGACCUUAGAAUAUCGGAACAAAAUUUUCUUAUCAAAAGUUUACACUUUUUCAUAACUGUCCGAAAAAUAACAAAAAAAUUAUUUUUUCCUCGUAAAUGUACGAAAAAUAUAAAAAUCAAGAAAAGUAAGUCCAAAACACCUCAAAAAAUUCUCUAACUGCACCAAUGACCUUAAAAUAUCGAAACAAAAAAAUUAUCAAAAUUUUACUAUUUUUCGUAACUGUUCGAUAAAUAACAAAAAAAUUAAUUUGUAGGGUAAAGGUACAAAACAUAUAAAAAUCAAGAAAAGUAUAUCAAACCACGUCAAAAAAUUCUUAAACUGCUCAAUGACCUUAAAAUAUAAAAACAAAAAAAUGAUCAAAAUUUUAUUCUUUUUUUGUAAUUGUUCGAAAAAUAACAAAUAAAAUAAUUUUUCCUUGUAAAUGUACGAAAUUUAUAAAUAUCAAGAAAAGUACAUCAAAACACCUAAAAAAUUUCUCAAACUGCACCAAUGACCUUAGAAUAUCGAAAUAAAAAAGUGAUGAAAAUUUUACUCUUUUUCAUACCUGUCCGAAAAAUAACAAAAUAUUAAAUUUUUCCUCGCAAAUGUCUGAAAGAUAUAACAAUCAAGAAAAGUACAUCAGAACACCUCAAAAAAAUUGUCAAAGUGCACCAAUGACCUUUGAAUAUCGAAACAAAAAAAUGUUCAAAAUUUUACCUUUUUAGUAAUUGUCCGAAAAAUCACCAAAGAAUUAUUUUUACUCAUAAAUGUCUGAAAGAUAUAAAAAUCAAGAAAAGUACAUUAAAACACCUCAAAAUAUUCUCAAACUGCACCACUGACCUUAGAUUAUCAAAACAAAAAAAUGAGAAAUUUUUUUACUCUUUUUCGUAACUGUCCGAAAAAUAACAAAAAAAUUAUUUUUUUUUCGUUAAUGUCUGAAAGAUGUAAAAAUCAAGAAUGUAAAUCAAAAUACCUCAAAAAAUUAUCAAAUUGCACAAAUGACCUUAGAAUUUCGAAACAAAAAAAUGAUCAAAAUUUAAAGCUUUUGCAUAAAUGUCGAAAAAUAACAAAAAAAUUAUUUUUUCCUCGUAAAUGUACGAAACAUAUAAAUAUUAAGAAAAGUACAUCAAGACACCUCAAAAAACUCUUAAACUACACAAAUGACCAUAGAAUAUCGAAAUAAAAAAAUGAUCAAAAUUUUACGCUUUUUCGUAACUGUCAAAAAAAUUACAAAAAAUUUAAUAUCUCCUCGUAAAUGUACGAAACAUAUAAAAAUCAAGAAGUGUAAAUCAAAAAACCUCAAAAAUUUCUCAAACUUCACCAAUGACCUUAGAAUAUCGAGAAAAAAAAAUGAUCCAAAUUUUUCUCUUUUUUGUAACACAUCGUAAAAUUAAAAAAUAAUUAAUUUUUCCUCGUAAAUGUAUGAAACAUAUAAAAAUCAAGAAAAGUACAUCAAAACACCACAAAAAAUUUUCAAAUUGCACCAAUGACCUUAUUAUGUCGAAACAAAAAAAAUAUCAAAAUUUUACUCUUUUUCGUAAUUGUCCGAAAAAUAACAAAAAAAUUAAUUUUUUCUAAUAAAUGUACUAAACAUAUAAAAAUCAAGAAAAUUACAUCAAAACACCUGGAAAAAAAAUCAAACUGCACCUAUGUCCUCAGAAUAUUGAGACAAAAAAAUGAUUAAAAUUUUACUCUUUUUCGCAACUGUCCGAAAAAUAACAAAAAAUUAUUUUUUCCUCAAAAAUGUUUGGAAGAUAUAAAAAUCAUGAAAAGAAAAUAAAAACACCUCAAAAUAUUCUAAAACUGCACCAAUGAUCUUAGAAUAUCGAAACAAAAAAAUGAUCAAAAUUUAACACUUUUUUGCAAUUGUUCGAAAAGUUACAAAAAAUUUAAUUAUUCCUCGUAAAUGUCUAAAAGAUAUAAAAAUCAAGAAAAGUACAUCAAAACACCUCAAAAAAUUCUCAAACUACACCAAUGAUCUUAGAAUAUCGAAACAAAAGAAUGAUCAAAAUUUACUCAUUUUGGUAACUGUCCGAAAAAUAACUAAAAAUUUAAUUUUUCCUCGUAAAUGUACAAAACAUAUAAAAAUCAAGAAAAAAAUACAUCAAAACACAACGAAAAAAUCUUAAACUGCACUAAUGACCUUGGAAUAUCGAAACAGAAAAAUAAUAAAAAAUUUACUAUUUUUCAUAAUUGUCCGAAAAAUAACAAAAAAUUUAAAUUUUCCUCGUAUAUGUCCUAAAGAUAUAAAAUCAAGAAAAUUUUUUACUUUUUAUCGUAACUGUCCGAAAAAUAACAAUAAAAUUAUUUUUUCUCAUAAAUGUACGUAAUAGAUAAAAGUCAAGAAAACUACAUCAAAACACCUCAAAGAUCUCUCAAAUUGCACCAAUGACUUUAGAAAAUUGAAACAAAAAAAUGAUCAAAAUUUACUUUUUUUUCGCAACUGUCCCAAAAAUAACAAAAAAUUGAUUUUUUUCUCGUAAAUAUACGAAACAUAUAAAAAUCAAGAAAAGUACAUCAAAACACCUCAAAAAAAUCUCAAACUGCACCAAUGACCUUAGAAUAUCGAAACAAAAAAAUGAUAAAAAGUUUACUCUUUUUCGUAAUUGUCUUAAAAAUAACAACAAAUUUAAAUUUUUCUCGUAAAUUUUCGAAAGAUAUAAAAAUCAAGAAAAGUACAUCAUAACACCUCAAAAUAUUCUUAAACUGCACCAAUGACCUUAGAAUGUAGAAACAAAAAAUGAUCAAAAUUUUACUCUCUUUCGUAACUAUCCAAAGAAAAACCAAAAAAUUAAUUUUUCCUCAUAAAUGUUCGAAAGAUAUAAAUAUUAAGAAAAGUACAUCAAAACACCUCAAAAAAUUCUCAAAGUGCACCGAUGACCUUGGAAUAUCGAAAGAAAAAAAUGAUCGAAAUUUACUCUUUUUCGUAACUAUUCGAAAAAUAACAAAAAAAUUAAAUUUUCCUAGUAAAUGUAUGAAACAUAUAAAAAUUAAGAAAACUACAUCAAAACACCUCAAAAAAAUCUUUAACAACAUCAAUGACCUUAAAAUAUCGAAACAAAAAAAGGAUCAAAAUUUUACACUUUUUCGUAGUUAUUCGAUAAAUAACAAAAAAAUUAAUUUGUACUCGUAAAUGUACAAAACAUAUGAAAAUCAAGAAAAGUAUAUCAAAACACCUCAAAAAAUUGUCAAACUGCACCAAUGACCUUGGAAAAUCGGAACAAAAAAAUGAUCAAAAUUGAACUCUUUUUCGCAACUGUCCCAAAAAUAACAAAAAAAUAAUUUUUUCCUCGUAGAUAUACGAAACAUAUACAAAUCAAGAAAAGUACAUCAAAACACCUCAAAAAAAAUUCUCAAACUGCACCAAUGACCUUAGAAUAUCGAAACAAAUAAAUGAUCAAAAGUUUACUCUUAUUCGUAAUUGUCCGAAAAAUAACAACAAAUGUAAAUUUUCCUCGUAAAUGUCCGAAUGAUAUAAAAAUCAAGAAAAGUACAUCUAAAACACCUCAAAAAAUUCUCAAACUGCAACAAUUACCUUAGAAUAUCGAAACAAAAAAAUAAUCAAAAUUUUACUCUCUUUCGUAACUGAACAAAGAAAAACCAAAAAAAUAUUUUUUCCUCGUAAAUGUCCGAAAGAUAUAAAAAUUAAGAAAAGUACAUCAAAAAACCUCAAAAAAAUUCUCAAAGUGCGCCGAUGACCUUAGAAUAUUGAAACAAAAAAAUGAUCAAAAUUUACUCCUUUUCGAAACUGUCCAAAAAAUAACAAAAAAUUUAAUUUUUCCUAGUAAAUGUACGAAACAUAUAAUAAUUAAGAAAUGUACAUCAAUACACCUCAAAAAGUUCUUAAACUACAUCAAUGACCUUAGAAUAUCGAAAUAAAAAAAUGAUCAAAAUUUUACUCUUUUUCAUAAUUGUCCGAAAAAUAACAAAAAAAUAUUUUUUUCCUCGUAAAUGUACAAAACAUAUAAAAAUUAAGAUAGUACAUCAAAACACCUCAAAUAAUUCUUUAACUACACCAAUGACCUUAGAAUAUCAAAACAAAAAAAUGAUCAAAAUUUUUACUCUAUUUCGUAACUGUCCGAAAAAUAAUUAAAAUUUAAUUUUCUUCGUUAAUAAACGAAACAUAUAAAAAUCAAGAAAAUUUCAUAAAAACACCUUAAAAAAAAUCAAAGUGCACCAAUGACCUUAGAAUUUCGAAAAAAAUGAUCAAAAGUUUACCUUUUUUCAUAACUGUCCAAAAAAUAACAAAAAAAUAUUUUUUCCUCAUAAAUAUACGAAAGAUAUAAAAAUCAAGAAAAGUACAUCAAAACACCUCGAAAAAUUGUCAAACUGCACCAAUGACCUUAGAAUAUGGAAACAAAAAAUGAUCAAAAUUUUACUCUUUUUCGUAACUGGUUGAUAACUAACCGAAAAUUUAAUUUGUCCUCGUAAAUGCACAAAACAUAUAAAAAUCAAGAAAAGUACAUCAAAACACCUCGAAAAAUUGUCAAACUGCACCAAUGACCUUAGAAUAUCGAAACAAAAGAGAAUCAAAACUUUACACUAUUUUCGUAACAGUCUGAAAAAUAGCAAAAAAAUUAGUUUUUCCCUGUAAAUGUACGAAACAUUUAAACAUCAAGAAAAGUACCUCUAAACACCUCAAAAAAUUCUCAAACUACACCAAUGACCUUAGAAUAUCGAAACAAAAAAAAGAUCCAAAUUUUACUCUUUUUCAUAACUGUCCAAAAAAUAACAAAAUUUAUUUUUUUCUCAUAAAUGUACGAAACACAUAAAAAUCAAGAAAUGUACAUUAAAACACAUCAAAAUAUUCUCAAACUUCACCAAUGACCUUAGAAUAUUGAAACAAAAAAAAAUGAGAAAAAAUUUACUCUUUUUCGUAACUGUUUGAAAAAUAACAAAAAAUUUAAUUUUUGGUCGUAAAUUUUUUAAAGAUAUAAAAAUCAAGAAUGUACAUCAAAACACCUCAAAAUAUUCUCAAACUGCACCAAUGACUUUAGAAUAUCGAAUCAAAAAAAUAAUUAAAAUUUUACUCUUUUUCAUAACUGUCGUAAAAAUAACAAAAGUAUUAAUUUUCCUCGUAAAUGUACGAAACAUAUAAAAAUUAAGAAAAGUACAUCAAAACACCUGAAACAAUUCUCAAACUGCACCAAUGACCUUAGAAUAUUGAAACAAAAAAAUGAUCAAAAUUUUACUCUUUUUUCUAUAACAACUCGCAAAAUGAUAGGUUGAACUAGAGCCUCAUCGUGUGGGUUAGUGUAACCUUAAGUUGAUGUCUAGGCUGUUUUAGAACUAAUUUGAGUUAGGAAGAAUCCUAGGGUGCAAGCAAGGGCUUAAUCUAGCAAAAUGGAGUGGAAGAAGCAUUGUUCUUUUAUGGACCUUUUGGCGAUAGGGCAACUUGAUCGCCCAAAGGAUUGAGCAAGUCACCCUUGUGCCCUUGUGAUCGUAGACAUGGUGCCCCCAAUGGUGACGAUCCACCUGAGGCUGCAGAUGAAGCCCUGGCCAGGCCUAGAGGACGACCACGGGGUAGGGGUAGGGGUCCAGCACCAGCCCCAGACAGAGAUAUAGCUCCAGACCUGGUAGAGGAUCCUCAGGUUGCCCCUAUUCCCCCUCAGCCGGAGGGUCCAGGUUUAGCCUAGCCGCCAGCCGCACCGGUCAUGAAUCAUGCUCUUUAGGCAGCUAUUGCCCAGCUACUUGCAGCUUUUGGGGGUGUACAGUAGGUCCUGGCACCUGCUCCAGUUCCACUAGUACAACAGGAGGAGCCAGCUCCAGUUCCACCAGUACAACAGGAGAAGCCAGGUCUAGUUCCACUAGUACAGCAGGACGGCCUCCAUCUCCCGUUCCAGGAGGGCACCCAGCCCUAGUGCCUCCUGCCGCCCAGCUAUAUGUUGCAGGAGGUCUUAUACCAUUCCAGGAGCAGAGGAUGCUUAGAUAUUUCCUCAGAUUGGCACCACUGAGGUUCUCAGAGGCAGUUGAAGAGGAUGCCUACGGGUUUCUGACUUCCUGCCGUGAGUGGUUGCAUGCCUUGAGAUUGUUGGAGUCCCGAGGGGUAGAUUUCACAUCCUAUCAACUUGAUAGACCCGCGAGGCAGUGGUGGCAGACAUAUAUGGAGACUAGGUGAGCUGGUCCCCUUCAGUGUCUUCGACGGAGUUUUCAGAGGCCUUCUUAGGUAGAUUUGUUCCCAGGAGUUUCAGAGAUGGGCUUCGCGAUUAGUUUUUGAGGUUGGAACAGGGCUCUAUGACCAUGUCUGAGUAUGAGGCGAGAUUUUAGGAGCUCUCUAGGUAUGCUACUAUGAUAUUACCAACGGAGGAGGAAAUGAUCUGGUGUUUUGUUCGAGGUCUGAGUACCCAGUUGCGGGUUGAGACCCAUUCUUUCGUUACAACGGGCCGUUCUUUUCUGAAGAUAGUUAAUCACCCUCGUUCCAUCGAGCAGUUCCAUCGCGAGGCCCAAGGGGGCAGCGACAAGAGGGCCCGACAUGAGGGUAUCUAUAGUGGACUGCGUUACAGGUCUAAAGAUUAUGAAGGCAGGCUCCAACAACAGUUAAAGCAGGGUCAGUCUUGCCGACUAGUACAUGCCUCAUUCCAGGCUUCAGGGGUGAUCAGCACCAGCAAGAUGCCUCCGGUCAGGGUGGCCCUCCCUAUAUUGCAGGCCAGAAGGCGAGAGAUGUGGCAUUGGCUGCUUCAGGUCAGACUGGUUUAUCACAUUUAGCGUGUCAGAGUACCAGGGAUUCAGAUGUGAGUACUACGGGCCGUAACGAUCGCUAAUUUGCGGGACGAUCUUCCCAAGGGUACUAUGAUUGUGGGGAUUAGACCAUUUGUCCAGAGAUUGUAAAAUGAUCAAAAUUUUACAAUUUUUCAAAACACUCUGAAAAAUAACAUAAACAUUAUUUUUUCCUCGAAAAUGUCUGGAAGAUAUAAAAAACAAGAAAAAUACAUCAAUACUCCUCAUAAAAUUGUAAAACUACAACAAUGAGCUUAGAUUAUCGAAACAAAAAAAUGAUAAAUUUUUUAUUCUUUUUCGUAACUGUCCGAAAAAUAACGAAAAAAUCAUUUUGCCUUGUAAAUGUAAGAAACAUAUAAAAAUCAAGAAAAGCUCAUCAAAACACCUAAAAAAAUUCUCAAAAUGCACCAACGACCUUAGAAUACCGAAAUAAAAAAUGAUCAAAAUUCUACUCUUUUUCAAAACUGUCUGAAAACCAAGAUUUUUUUUUAAUUUUUCCUCGUAAAUGUCCGAAAGAUAAUGAAAACUUCAUCAAAACACCUCAAAAAAUUCUCAAACUGCUGCACCAAUGAGCUUAGAAUAUCGAAACAAAAAAACGAUAAAUUUUUUAUUCUUUUUCGCAAAUGUCCGAAAAAUAACAAAAAAUUUACUUUUUCCUUGUAAAUGUACGAAACAUAUAAAAAUCAAGAAAAGUAUAUCAAAACACCUCAAAAAACUAUCAGACUGCACCAAUGACCUUAGAAUAUUGGAAAAAUAAUGGUCAAAAUUUUAAUCGCUUUCGUUAUAGUCUGAAAAAUAACAAAAAAAUUAUAUUUUUGUCGUAAAUGUACUAAACAUAUAAAAAUCAAGAAAUGCGCAUCAAAACACCUCAAAAAAUUCUCAAAUGGCACCAAUGACCUUAGAAUAUCUAAAUAAAAGAAUGAUCAAAAUUAUACGCUUUUUCAUAACUGUCCGAAAAAUAACAAAAAAUAAUAUUUUUUCCUCGUAAAUGUACGAAACAUAUAAGAAUCAAGAAAAGUACAUCAAAACAUCUGGAAAAAAAUUCUCAAACUGCACCACUGACCUUAGAAUAUCGACACAAGAAAAUGAUCACAAUUGACUCCUUUUUCAUAAAUGUCCGAAAACUUACAAAAAAAUUAAUUUUUCCUCAUAUAUGAACAAAACAUAUAAAAAUCAAGUAACGUAUAUCAAAAUACCUCAAAAAAUCCUCAAACUGUACCAAUGACCUUAGAAUAUCGAAAUAAAAAAUGAUUAAUAUUUGCCUCUUUUUCGUAACUUUCCGAAAAAUAACAAAAAAAAAAAAUUUCCUCGUAAAUGUCCGAAAGAUAUAAAAAUCAAGAAAAAUUACAUCAAAACACCUCAUAAAAUUCUCAAACUGCACCAAUGACUUUAGAAUAUCAAAACAAAAGAUGAUCAAAAUUUUGCACUUUUUCAUAACAGUCCAAAAAAUAACAAAAAAAUUAAUUUUUCCACGUAAAUGUACGAAUCAUAUAAAAAUCUAGAAAAGUACAUCAAAACAUCUCAAAAAAUUCUCAAAUUGCACCAAUGACCUUAGAAUAUUGAUACAAAAAAUUGAUCAAAAUUUUACUCUCUUUCUUAACCUUCCAAGAAAUAACAAAAAACUUAAUUUUUCCUCAUAAAUAUACAGAAGACAUAAAAAUCAAGAAAAGCAUAUCAAAAUAUCUCAAAAAAUUCUCAAACUGCACAAAUGACCUUAAAUAUCGAAAUAAAAAAUUAUCAAAAUUUUGCACUUUUUCAAAACACUCCGAAAAAUAACAAAAAAAAUUAUUUUAUCCUAGAAAAUGUCCGGAAGAUAUAAAAAACAAGAAAAGUACAUCAAUACUCCUCAUAAAAUUCUCAAACUACAACAAUGAGCUUAGAGUAUCGAAACAACAAAUGAUAAAAAAUUUAUUCUUUUUCGUAACUGUCCGAAAAAUAACGAAAAAAAUCAUUUUGCCUUGUAAAUGUAAGAAACAUAUAAAAAUCAAGAAAAGCACAUCAAAACACCUCAAAAAAUUCUCAAACUACACCAACGACCUUAGAAUACCGAAACAAAAAAUGAACAACAUGUUACUCUUUUUCAAAAUUGUCCGAAAACUAACAAUUUUUUUUUAUUUUUCCUCCUAAAUGUCCGAAAGAUAUAAAAAUCAAGAAAAUUAUAUCAAAACACCUCAAAAAAUUCUCAAACUGCUGCACCAAUGAGCUUAGAAUAUCGAAACAAAAAAGUGAUAAAUUUUUUAUUCUUAUUCGCAAAUGUCCGAAAAAUAACAAAAAAUUAACUUUUUCCUUGUAAAUGUACGAAACAUAUAAAAAUCAAGAAAAGUAUAUCAAAACAACUCAAAAAAUUAUCAGACUGCACCAAUGACCUUAGAAUAUUGAAACAAAAAAAUGAUCAAAAUUUUAAUCGCUUUCGUUAUAGUCUGAAAAAUAACAAAAAAACUAUAAUUUUGUCGUAAAUGUACUAAACAUAUAAAAAUCAAGAAAAGCACAUCAAAACACCUCAAAAAAUUCUCAAACGGCACGAAUGACCUUAGA
rnacentral:lncRNA from 1 species